UUUGUGCAUCUUCUGAUUGGUCUUUAUUUGCCGUAGGGGGCGGUGGCGCUGAGCAACAUAACGUCACUGGUGGAAAAAGGGCCUUUGGUCGCGGUUCGCAACUGCCAUUAGUCGCGGUUGCGCAACCGCGACCGAACGGGCGCGACUAAAGGCCCCCCCCUUUAGUCGCGGUUGCUUAAGAACCGCGACUAAAGGCCCGUCCACGUGGGCGCCAGGUGGCCGUCGGGGCGGAGGACCUUUAGUCGCGGUUCUUCUGGCCAACCGCGACUAAAGGCCGCCGCAGGUUUAGGGUUUUAGCCCCCCCCCCCCUUAAACCUGUUUUCUGUUUAAUUUGUAUUGUUUUAUUUCUUUUGUGCUUUAUUUUAAUUUUGAAGGAGUUUCAUAUAUUCUACGGUACUACAUACAUGCAUAUGAAUGUACAAUUUCAAAUAAAUUUGAAAUUAGAACCAAAAAGAAUUCAAGAGGAAUAUACAAUAUAUAUUCAAUAUCAUCGGAUGACCAUAUACAAUUUUGAACAAGUUUCCAUACAUGAUUUAAUGCAUAUAAAGUUCUACGUCCUCGUAAUAGUGUUCUCCUUUAGGAUGGAGGACUUCCCUGCUGAACCAUCCAGCUAGUUCCUCUUGAAGUGGUCGGAAGCGAGCUUCUGGACUAAGCAUCCACCGGAGGUUAUUCCUCUGAGCAUUGGUAUCACUCGGAACCCGCUCAGAGGUGUAUCUCCGGAUCAUCUCACAGACAUAGUAUUCACAUAGAUUGGUCUCCGGUGGCUGAAUAUCCCCAGCAUUCUUAGCCUUUAACAUUUUGAAUUCUAGCUCUUUUUUGAAUUCACCGACCUUUGUAUCUACGAACCGUCUCCAAACCCUACGAGGCAAAGAAAAUUAAAUGAACAAGAGAGUUAUUAAUUAGUUACUUGAUAUUAGGAAAUGAACGAAAUAGGCCGAUCGAUAUAGAGCGCAAAUGAAUGAAAAUAAUUACUUCUGCAGCAUUCUUCUCAUGCCGCCCCAAAGCUUUGGAUCCAUAUUCACAGAGUCGUGGACGAGACAUUCUGAGGUGUUAACUUUAAUUACUAGCAGAAUCCAGUGGAACCUGCGGACACGAUACAUGCACAGUACGUCAUGCAUAACUCAUCGAUUAGCCGGCCACAUACCAUGCAUGGAGUAAACAAAAGAGAAUGUGCUCAAUACAGAAACACUCACUCAAAAUGGUAAGGAAAUAGAAUAUCACUUUUGAGUUCCUGCUUUGUAAGAAACUGCCACAGGUCUGCCUCCACGUCGGCGGGGUAACGCUCCAACACAUGUCCAUUAACGAUGUGUGGGUCAAUGAACCCAACAUCAUGGAUGUUCCUUACUCUGCAUUCCUUAAUCUUCAUUCUGCAUGUAUAAUAGCGGACACAACAAUAUAGUUAGGACAUAUAUAUAGUGCAGGCAAUAUGAACGAGAUGGGGUAGAAAUUAAUAAAUCACUUACAGAACGUAGCAACUGAUGAUAGAUUUAUCGAGCUCGCGCAGAUUGAAAAGCUGGAACAAUUCACUCAGUUCAAUUUGUACAUAGUAAUGUUUGAAGUGAUGCUCAUGUCUAACUUCCGCAUAAAUAUAUUCUUUGGCGUUUUUAUUUUUUAUGUAACCCUUAUACCAUUUCAGCAGACCUUUCAUUUGUGGAGGUAGAUCCUUUUCCUGCGCAGGCUCGACGAGAGGCCCAUUCUUGACAUAUGUAAUUACUACCUCCUUCACUGGCGCCUCAUCAAGGCCUAACAGUUCACGAAGAGUAAUACCUAAGUUGGCCGCUUGUUCUCUGGCACUCGUUACAGUCAAUCCCUGUGCUGCCGCAGCUUGUAUGAUCUCGGGGGCAUCCGGACAGAAGGCUUCCACUAUAAGCGGGGCAAUCGAUUGUUUACUUUGAUCCCCGAGCUGGGCAACUUGUUUCCCGCUUUUUUUACUUUCGGCCUUCUCCCGCUCUUUGUUCUCCUUGAACAUGAGUGCCUGCCUGCGAAGUUCACGUGCAUAGUCGUUAGGCAGAUUCUUCGCGGCUUGGGACGGUGUGCUCAAAAAUGACUUAGCCCACUUCUUUUGCUCAUCAGAAAAUACUGGCUUGGGCUCGGGCUCUCUUUUCUUCUUGCAGUCCGCCUUCCAUUUCUCCAAAUCAGCAGCCGCGGCCGCGUCGACUUCCUCGGCACUACGUUCCCAAGGCCUUGUGGGGAGAGGCUUCAGUGAUGGCUCCGGUACCUUUGUGGUCUUAGGUACAUAAGGGUCCGGGUUAAUAAUCCAGGACUGCUUCUGCUUCUUUGCCGGAGGUGGAUUGGGGGGCGGCGUCUGAUCACCCGCCGGACGAGGACUGGGGGGCGGCGGCUGAUCACCCGCCGGACGUUGUGGACUAGGGGGCGGCGUCGGCUGACGUGACGGAGGUGUAGGUGAACCGCCACCACCACCACCACCACCACCACCGCCACCGCCGCCACCACCACCGUAGGGGGGUGGACUUGUUGUCCUUGGCGCCUCGCCUGGAAACUUGAUAAACUUCUUUUGCCAUAGAAUCAAAUGACGCUUGACAUCUCCAAGUCUUUUCUCCCCUUCAGGUGUAGCAAUGUCAAUCUCCAGGUCCUCAAACCCUUGGACUAUGUCCUCCACCGUGACACGAGCAUAGCCAUCUUGAAUGGGGUUGUUGUGGUGGAGUGCUCCAGGUAAACAUGGUAAAGCACUGCCGAUGGCUACCUUCAUGGACAUGUUCCCGAUAGGAUAAUACAGAUGACAUUCUUUCAUCUCCUUUAUAUCGUCCACGGGGUAGCGAGGAGGCUCCGGUGAAGUAAUUUCGACCACCAGAGGCUCCGGUGCAGUAAUUUGGACCACCAGAGGCUCCGGUGCAGUAAUUUCGAUCGUCGGUGCAUCUGCACCAGCCGGUGGGGCCUCCGUGGAAGCCACGCUGCUUCUCCGCUGUUGGCUUCCGAGAUCCGCUGGAUGAUCUUCAUGCUGCACCCGAGCUGCAUCUCUUUCGGCUACUAGUACACUCAUGGUUUUCUUCAUCACAUCCAUUUCCGAUGCCAACCGCGCCACAACAUCUGCUUCCCGAUCCAUCUUUCUCUUACGGCUUCUGUAACCGUACGGGUCAUCGUUCUGGGGGAACCCUAUUUUCCACGGAAUGUGCCCCAUGCCUCGUACACGUCCUCCGUGUUCAGGAUUCCCGAGGGCUUUUGUCAGCGCGUCGUUCUCUCUGUUGAACUUGAUCUUCCCCUGUUGAGCAUCCCUCAUUGCGUUAAUAAGGGCUUGGGUGGGUUUAAUUAAUUUGCCCCGGUAAACACACUCCCCUGUCUCCGGGUUCAGCGUUCCCCCAUGCCCGUACCACCAGCUUUUGGCCCUUGGGUCCCAUCCCUCCGUACCUGGACGGAUUCCUCGCGCCCUCAGCUCGUUCUCCAUCUUCUCCAACCUAGGCACCCAAAUGCGAUACCCUCCUGGCCCCAUAACAUGAUUGUACUCCUUCUUAGCCGCAUUUUCCUUAUUUUUUUCGAUAUUUGAAUGAACUGCUCCGAUUUCUUUUGCUUCACAAAUUUUGGCCAAUCAUGUUUCAGUUUCUCAUAUUGUCCUUUGAAAUCCGGAGUCUUGUUCUGCUUGACAAAGUCAUGGGCUAGAUUUUGCUUGAAUUUCCGGAAUGCGUCGGCCAUCUUAUGAAGAGCGAACUGUUUGACUAGCCUCCUCCUCUCCUUGUUUUCCUCAAUCUUGUUACCCUCCUCAUCGAAUUUGUUGUAUUCCGGAGGUAGAACAAAAUGUUCCGUAAGCUUCUUGAAGCAAUCUUUUUUUGUUCUCUUAUCGACAAAAGUGAAACCAUCAAUUCGUGCCUUCUUUGGCUCAUUCCACUCCUGGACGGUGAUCGAGACGUUGUCUCUAACAAUGGCUCCGCAUUGGCUGACAAACUUGGUGGCGUUCUUGCGGGGCUCCAGCGGCCUGCCGGUUGCACUGUCGACAACCUCGAUGGUGCAUGUUUCUCCUUGUUUCAUCGUCUUGGUUGCGCCACGCUUUGACGACGUACUCGAUUGUUUCGACGAUCCGGCCGAGGGCUAAAAUAAGAAAGAGUCGCGCGCGUUAGUACACACAUAUUUAUUCAAAUCAGUUAGUUUGUAUCACCAGAGGCUCAAUGUAUAUAUAUACCUCGGCGCCGGAGGUGGUUGCUACUUCCAUUUGAAGAUCGUCGUUUAUCGACGUUUGUUCGGCAUCAUCUUGCUGACGGCGCCCUUCAUCUUCACCGUCAAGGUUCAGAUAAGAAGAGAUAUCAUAUUCUUCUUCUCCGGUCGGCACAUAUAGAAUAUCGCCGUUUAUGAUGCCGAACAUAUGUGCUUCACCAUCCGGAUCAUAGUUGUCCAUAAUCGGGUCAGCUCUAUCGUCCGCCAUUAUGUCAGUCCUGAAAACAUGUAGUAAAAACAAAUUAAUUAAGUGAAGAAGGGGGGCGGUGGCGGUGGCGGUGGCGAAAGGGCGGUGGCGAAAGGAGGGGGCGAGGAAGGGGUGGGAGAGGGUGUCGCGGUAGAGCGCGAGACAGGGCGGCAGACGACGGCGUCACGGAGAGGGGAGGCGAGGACAACACAUUUAUAACCCUCGCCGUCCCCUCUCGAUCCCUACAAAAACACCGCGCGCAUCGCCGCCCCCUCGCCGCCCCUCUCCGUAUAAACAAAUUGUCCGAACAGAGCUUGGAGUAGAGUGGCUAGGGUUUGGCCAGGGAUGCAGAUGGAGACGAAUAUAUGUGGGGUCGGGAUGGCCCAUGUGCAGGGCGGGGGGUGCUGGCCACACUCUUUUUUCUUUUCUUUUUCAUUUCAUUUCAUUUUUUCUUUUCCUGUUUUUAUCCUUUUCAUCUUUAAAAAUCGACGAUGCCCAAGGUACACGUUCUUCUUACAAUUUGGCAAAUGUACACUUUCAGUCUCAUGUAAGCAGUGCGUGCAUGCAUUGUAUCCCUUAUUUGACAGUCCCGAAAGGUUACUAAGAGCAGGCCAAUCGUUGAUGGUUACGAAAAGCAACGCUCGUAGGUCAAAUUCCUCUUGUUUGUGCUCAUCCCACACACGGACACCACCCCACAGCUGUAAAAGUUCAUCAACUAAUGGCCUUAGGUACACAUCGAUGUCGUUGCCGGGUUGCUUCGGACCUUGGAUGAGCACUGGCAUCAUAAUGAACUUCCGCUUCAUGCACAACCAAGGAGGAAGGUUGUAGAUGCAUAGAGUCACGGGCCAGGUGCUAUGGCUGGAGCUCUGCUCGCCAAAAGGAUUCAUGCCAUCCGUACUUAGAGCAAAUCUUAUGUUCCUUGCGUCAGCUGCAAAAUCUUUGAACCAUCUGUCGAUCUUUCUCCAUUGCGUUCCAUCUGCGGUGUGUCUCAACUCCCCGUCCGACUUACGGUCCUCUUUGUGCCAUCGCAACAACUUGGCAUGCUCUUUGUUCCUGAACAGACGUUUCAACCGUGGUAUUAUAGGAGCAUACCACAUCACCUUGGCGGGAACCCUCUUCCUGGGUUUCUGGCCCUCAACAUCGUCACCAGGGUCAUCGCCUCUGAUCUUAUAACGCAAUGGAGUGCAUACCGGGCAUUCAUUCAAAUUCUCGUAUUCACCGCGGUAGAGGAUGCAGUCGUUGAUGCAUGCAUGUAUCUUCAGAACCACUAAACCUAGAGGGCAGACAACCUUCUUUGCUUCGUACGUACUGGCGGGCAACUCGUUAUCCUUUGGAAACAUAUUCUUCAACAUUUUCAGCAAGUUUUCAAAUGCCGAGUCAGCUACACCUGCCUCUGCCUUCCAUUUCAGCAAAUCCAGUGUGCAGCCCAGCUUUUUCAGACCAUCAUCGCAUCCGGGGUACAGCGCCUUUCUGUGAUCCUCUAACAUGCGAUCCAAAUUCUCCCUCUCCUUUUCAGUUUCGCAGCGUCUCCGUGCAUCAGCAAUGGUCCGACCAAGAUCAUCAACGGGAUCAUCACGUGCCUCUUCUUCACCUUCCCCUUCACCUUCAGCAUCCUCCAUGAAAGUAUCACCGAAAUGAGCAAGAUAGCUUUCAUCGAUGAAAUCAUCCCCUUCUUCAUCUUCUUCCAUUAUAACCCCUCUUUCUCCAUGCUUGGUCCAACAAUUAUAGCUUGGCAUGAAACCCUGCCGAAGCAGAUGCAUGUGAACAUCUCUUGAGGAAGAGUAACCCUUCUGAUUCUUACAGAUAACACAUGGACAGAUAACAAAACCCCCCUGCUUGUUCGCAUUAGCCACUACGAGGAAAUCUUUCAAACCCGUAGUGAACUCGCCGGAGAGUCGGUUACCGUACAUCCAUUGCCGAUUCAUCUGCAUUAUUAUAAUAUAAAAUAUAUAAUUAACCAUCAUGCAUUUGUUAAACUAACUAGCUACAAACAAUAUAAAUUAAACAAUGAACUGCACACAUGCAUAUUUUAUCAAUGACACACAUGCAUGAAAGGUUCAAGUUGCUAACCGCGAUCGAGGAGGAAAAAAUAAAUGAGGAACCUCAAGUGUGGCUCCAACACUUCAUAUCAUGUUUGUUUCACCCUCUUAGGGCAUUUCAUCAAACACCUUGUGUGCAUAAGAGGAACCAAAAGCAAACCUACACCCCCUUGUGAAGCUUGUGAAGAGAAGUGGCACCAAAUGGCUAANNNNNNNNNNNNNNNNNNNNNNNNNNNNNNNNNNNNNNNNNNNNNNNNNNNNNNNNNNNNNNNNNNNNNNNNNNNNNNNNNNNNNNNNNNNNNNNNNNNNNNNNNNNNNNNNNNNNNNNNNNNNNNNNNNNNNNNNNNNNNNNNNNNNNNNNNNNNNNNNNNNNNNNNNNNNNNNNNNNNNNNNNNNNNNNNNNNNNNNNNNNNNNNNNNNNNNNNNNNNNNNNNNNNNNNNNNNNNNNNNNNNNNNNNNNNNNNNNNNNNNNNNNNNNNNNNNNNNNNNNNNNNNNNNNNNNNNNNNNNNNNNNNNNNNNNNNNNNNNNNNNNNNNNNNNNNNNNNNNNNNNNNNNNNNNNNNNNNNNNNNNNNNNNNNGCGACUAAAGCCCCUCACGUGCACCAGCUGGCCACCGAGCGCCCUGGGCCCAGGCCUUUGGUCGCGGUUCGUCUGCCGAACCGCGACUAAAGACUUCAUUAGUCGCGGUUCCUACAGUUUUGCGACUAAUGGGGCUGGACGGAAGCCUCUUUUUCUACCAGUGCGUACACGAACCUGAAGGGGACUUCGAGGUACAAGACGGCCGUCGAGUUCGACUGCAGCAAGAGCGGCAGCUGCACGAACAUCCACGUCAACUCCGUGGCGAUCACAGCUGCGUACGGCGGAGAAACCGUGGCCCGCUGCCAGAACGCGCAAGGGGACACCUCCGGAUAUGUCUACCCGAAGAUCCCUUGCCUUAGAUAAUGUAUGUGAUAGAAAAAAAAUAGAUAAUGUAAUAAUACCCAGCCCAGGGUUUAGCAGUGCAUUUGGAGGGAGUAUCCCGUGAUACCAUCUCCCACAUGUUUCCAUGCUCCAAUUCCAAAUAUAUCUAUUGUAAAUGUUUUAUAAAAAAUAUGGAGAAAAACAAUAUGUCUACAACCCUUGAACAUUUAAAGUCAACCCUUGAACAUUUAAAGUCAGUGAACAAUAUGCCCAUGCGUUGCAACGGGAGAUAAAAUAGUAUGCAUUUAAAGUCAAUAAAAAUUAUAUAUGCAAGCAAAACCCUGCGUGCGCAUGAAAAAUGAACAUUUAGUUUCUCGGUUUCGCCGCGUGUGAAGGAAUCAAUCCGCUAUUUUUUCAUUCAUUGAUUGAGGGCAUUUAAGAGAAGACCCAUGAGUUAUUCAAUAUACUCUUCCUUUCAAUUCUUUUCAAUCGAGGGGAUUUCAAGGUAUGUAGUUUCUGAAUAUUCUAGGAGACAUGAACAAUGUUUUAAAUACUGAACAAUUUUUUGGAAAUUAUGUACACUUUUGAAGAAACGCGAACAAAAUAUGAAAGGGAACAUAUUUUAAAAUUCACAAACAUUUUUUGAAAACACCAAUUUUUUUUAUUAUAAAGACAUGAACAUUAUUUAAGUUUGUGAAUAAUUUUUUUAAAACAGGAACAUGUGUUGAAAAUUCAUAAAUAUUUUAGAAAAUGUGUAUAUUUUAUACACUAACAUUAUUUUUAAUUUUGAAAAAUUCAGUAAAAUAAGAACAUUCUUUGAAUUCGGAGCAUUUUUUUAAAAUGCCAUUUUCUUUUUAGAAAUCUCGAACAAUUUUGUAAAGAAAUAUUAUUUGAAAAAAUGGGAAACUUUAAAAGUUCCAAAUAUUUUUCAAAACAGCAACAAAGUUUUGGAAUUAUGAACAUUUUCCAAAAUUUGGUUUUGUAAUUCUGAAUUUUUUUGAGAAUUUUUUACUUACGAAAUAAAUUCUAAAAGAAAAAUAAACUUGGUAGUGAAAAAAGAUAUAGGGAAAUGAGAAUAAAAAUAGAAGUAAAACACAGAAAAAAAUGGGUCAGCAUAUUAUUGGUUGUCCUGUGCGAAACUCUGACUAUUUGUCGCCCUGUGCGGAAAAUAGAAUUUCCCCAGCUGCGAGGGCAGAAAAAUAAGUGGGCUGGCUUUGCUAGGCCACAGCGCGUGGCCCAUGUACGAAAAAUCUUUUUCUAGUAGACAAACGCAUAAGAAUUUAGUACCACCUCGGAUAAAGAAAAUAUUUUCUGUGGUGAACGGAUGAAAAAUUUGACGAAACACACCUUGCUUUAUUGGUAGGUGUAGAUAUAGAUAUAGAUAUAGAUAUAGAUAUGGAGAAAAAUAAUAUGUCUACAACCCUUAAACAUUGCAAAUCGGCUGAACUUCUGACUUUUGGAAUGUUCCUAUUUCUUAGAUGACCGCUUCUGUUAAAAAACACGAUCCACAAAUUCAAAGGCCAACCGAAAAUAGAAAAACAAACAUGGGCAUGAAAAUGAGCCCACUUGAUUAAAGAAGAAAAAAGGCAGGGCUACAACAAAUAACAAGGAAAGCGAAUCAGGCCCGAGCACAUGGAUGACAUCAUCUCGAUGAGACUUACUAAGUGAGCAAAAGGGAGGAAUAUGGAAAUAACUAGUUUUUUUAGGGAACAGAAAUAACUAGUUACCCUUUUGCAAAAGUCACUCCCCACCUUUUUAGGUGGUUACAAGUAGCCCACCUGGGAUUUUGUCGUUUUUCCUAGACUGGUUUAUUCAAAAUAUUUUAUCUUUUGAAUCAUGUGUCCUAAUCCUGAAUCAUUUUCGUGGUUGGAUUUCUCGCUUUGAGAUUUUCAAAACUUCCCAUGUUAAUAGGGUUUGACCCAAAAAACAUGAAAAACCAGCAACGAAAAAACAAAUUUCAUAAAAAACAAAAAGCAAAAAAUAACGGCAACCAAAAAAAUACCAAUUAACAAAGAAGGCGAAAGAAAAAAAACCUAAGCCCGAAAGCAUAGUUAUGGCUUUUCACCCUUUUUCCACUUUUCGAGAAGCACAAAAUAUCUUUUCCCGAGAAGUAUAUCGUGGAAGCAAAUAUGUGCCUCUCAUGGAAGCAUAUUUAAAAAAACAGAAUUGUGUUUCUAGCGAAAGCAAAUCUAUACUUUUCAUGGACGUACAUAUUUUUUUUUUAUUUUGAGAACCACAGUUGCACUUCUCACGGAAGCAAAUUCAUGCUUCCAUGAGAAGCAAAUAUGUGCUUCUUGUAAACUCAUAGUUUGUUUUCCUUUUCGAGAAGAUAGUUGUACAUCGCAAAAAGUUUUUCCUAAACCUGGGAAAUACCAAGCAAAAAACAAAAGACCAAAAAAGAAAAAAAAACUCAAAAUGUGAACAGAAAAAAUUCAGAUGGAGCAUCCAGUACGGACAUGUGACGCGGCUGGAUGCACCACUUGGCACGCUCACAUGCCACAAAAGUGACCCUUGCGAGGCUUAGUUAGUCUCCAGAAAUUCUAAAACAAAAGGUGAGCACCAGUACCGGGCCUGGUCCAUUUUCGGCCCUGUGAUCGAGCGAUCGCUACAGGCGAUAAAUACUAGUCCCCUGUAUGGACUAAAAAAAUCAAUAUCAGUCUUUGUAUCCGCAAGCCGCCGGGCGCCGGGCACAGCAUUGCCACCAGUUGACCUGCAAAGUGAAAACUGUGGCAGUAAUCACUGUCUAGGUAACUUCCAUCAAACACAUUAAGCUACGCUACAAGGGCGCCUCCUUGUGCGUGCCACGUCGAACACAUUGGUUGGGUAGGAAAAAAAGAGGGGUAAAAAGAAAAAAGGGAAACUAAAAAGGCCUCUCGGGAAACCCUAGAGCCAAUCACCACCGCCACUCUCUUCAAUCCCCUCCGCCACGCCCGUGUCCCGUCUCCCAUUCCAAUCCCCUCUGAUCCAGCUGCUGUGAUCUGCAUCUCCUUUGGCUCCUCUCCUCGUCUUUCUUGCGCGACUCCUGCUCGAGUGCGGGGCAUGGAGAUGGCUGUCCGCGACGCGGGCACACGAUGCGGACAAGCGGCGGUGGCGUGCCGUGGCUGUACUGGGUUGGCCGGCCGAUUCCGCUCGGAUCUUGUUCGACGAGAUUGUUGGCGACGUGUUGCGGGAGCAGGAGAGUGGGUUUUGGUCCCGGCAGUUUGGGGCACGCUGUUGGUGCUUGUGCAGGAGAACGGUGGCUGCAGCGGCGCAUUCGAGGAGAGCUGCGUCGACCCCCUCUUCGUUAUACAUGGCAGCCGACUGAGCUCCGCGCGCCGGUGAAUCCAGGCUCUCUCUUUUUUGUGUGAGAGGAUAUCGUUGUCGAGCCUGAGGUGCAGGCGGCCAUGGAAAGACAGGAGACGCCACACCUCGCUGCCUCGCCCUUGCGUGCUGUACAGGCCGCUAUCUCUCUUUCUCCUCUAUCUUGAUUCAAUCCUCAAAAAAUCUCAUUUUUGUCUCUAUGCCUACAAGGUAUUCAAUGAAAGAGCAUGUACAUAUGUGAUGUUUAUACUCGUAUGUGUUAUCCAUUGUCUGUCUUUUAGUUUCAGACGAUUUCUUUAAAUUUUUAUCAUUUUCAAUUUCAUGAUGUUACUUCAGGAGCUGAAGUAAGAGAAAAUGAAGGAUGUUGUGCUGAUGCAGGUCUGGAGCACUACUCGGAGGCCUCGUUGAGUGGGAGGCCAUGCCGAGUGGAUCUACAACAGUCGUGUCAGGUUUGGUGCCCGGGAGCUGGAGGCAGGAAGUCAAGGUCAUCGAUGUCGCAGUCCAUAAAUCAUCCUCCUUGUUGUGCCACCCCAUGGACACUUUCAUCUUUGGUCGCCCCUCCUCACGGACGCUUCAGAACGACAUCUCAGCACGAUGUCGGUGGAGGAGAGGAUCACUAUCGUGCGCUCAGCGACGGGAAUAAGCCGAGGUCGUCAUUCGACCUUAAUUUCAAGGUACCUUUGUUGUUUAAUUACAUUCCCUCCUAGCUAGCUAAAAAGAGACAUUCACUUCUAUGUGUGCAGAAUUACGUGAGUUGUCAGUGAAAAGUUAGUAGAGCUUGCUUAAUCAUGAUGUAGUAAUUAGUGCAUUGCUGCUUAUGUGAAUUUUUUUAGGAAUGAACAUAGCCACGAAAUAAAAUUGACCACUAUGCUAAAGAGGCUUAUUCUAAACAUGGCAUCUUUAUGUUAGUUACCUAUAGUGUCUAAAUGCUUACUUCCUAAUUUUCCUAGAAAUUUUUGUGUCCUUCCUCUUAGCCUUUAGGCACUGCAAGUUACAUAUAUGUGAAAUUGUCUGUCUCCAGCAGUAGCAUUUCAUUCAUUUCGUUUGGAGCAAGUGAUGAAUGCCUUGAUGCGCAAGAUCUUGAACUUACAUGCUGGCAAGAGAAUAUAUUCCUACCAUUGACAUGGUUCAGUCUCCAUGGGUCAAACUGCACAACAGCUUGUAGGCAACUAGAGAUGAUAAUCAAGCCUUUAUCGCACACCUUGGACUCGGCACGAAACUGUACCUCCUAUUCAAAAUCAUGUCCUGGUAAGAUGAGAUGUAACCAAACCUAUAGGUAAUGUGAUUUUAUAAUUUUGACGUGCCAAGGGAUUAUGGUGGAUGUUGGUUGUUUUUGAAGGAAAUAUGCCCUAGAGGCAAUAAUAAAGUUGUUAUUUAUAUUUCCUUAUAUCAUGGUAAAUGUUUAUUAUUCAUGCUAGAAUUGUAUUAACCGGAAACUUAGUACAUGUGUGAACACAUAGACAAACAGAGUCUCACUAGUAUGCCUCUACUUGACUAGCUCGUUAAUCAAAGAUGGUUAAGUUUCCUAGCCAUAGACAUGAGUUAUCAUUUGAUGAACGGGAUCACAUCAUUAGAGAAUGAUGUGAUUGACUUGACAAAUCCGUUAGCUUAGCACUAUGAUCGUUUAGUUUAUUGCUAUUGCUUUCUCCAUAACUUAUACAUGUUCCUAUGACCAUGAGAUUAUGUAACUCCCGAAUACCGGAGGAACACUUAGUGUGCUAUCAAACAUCACAACGUAAUUGGGUGAUUAUAAAGAUGCUCUACAGGCGUCUCCUAUGGUGUUUGUUGAGUUGGCAUAGAUCAAGAUUAGGAUUUGUCACUCCGAUUAUCGGAGAGGUAUCUCUGGGCCCUCUCAGUAAUGCACAUCACUAUAAGCCUUGCAAGAAAUGUGACUAAUUAGUUAGUUGCGGGAUGUUGCAUUAUGGAACAAGCAAAGAGACUUGCCGGUAACGAGAUUGAACUAGGUGUGAUGAUACCGACAAUCGAAUCUCGGGCAAGUAACAUACCGAUGACAAAGGGACAACGUAUGUUGUUUUGCGGUUUGACCGAUAAAGAUCUUCAUAGAAUAUGUGGGAACCAAUAUGAGCAUCCAGUUUCCGCUAUUGGUUAUUGACCGGAGAUGAGUCUCGGUCAUGUCUACAUAGUUCUCGAACACGUAGGGUCCGCACGCCUAACGUUCGAUGACGAUCGGUAUUAUGAGUUUAAGUGUUUUGAUGUACCGAAGGUAGUUCGGAGUCCCGGAUGUGAUCAUGGACAUGACGAGGAGUCUUGAAAUAGUCGAGACAUGAAGAUUGAUAUAUUGGAAGGUUAUGUUUGGACACCGGAAUGGUUUCAGAUGAGUUCGGGCAUAUACCGGAGGUACCGGGGGGUUACCGGAACCCCCCGGGGGCUUAAUGGGCCUACAUGGGCUUUAGUGGAAGAGAGAGGAGGCGGCCAAGAGGUGGGGGCGCCCCCCAAGCCCAAUCUGAAUUGGGAGGGGGGGCCUUUCCUUCUUCUCCUCUUCCUCUUCCUUCCCCCUCCUAUUAGGACUAGGAAAGGGGGGAAACCUACUCCUAGUAGGAGUAGGAAUCCCCCCUUGGGGCGCACCAUAAUGGCCGGCCGGCCCCCUCCUCCCCUCCUUUAUAUACGGGGGAGGGGGAACCCCAUAGACACACAAGUUUACAAUUGUUUUAGCCAUGUGCGGUGCUCCCCUCCACAAAUACACACCUCGGUCAUAUCGUCGUAGUGCUUAGGCGAAGCCCUGCACUGGUAACUUCAUCAUCACCGUCAACAUGUCGUCAUGCUUACGAAACUUUCCUCGGCCUCAACUGGAUCAAGAGUACAAGGGACGUCACCGAGUUGAACGUGUGCAGAUCGCGAAGGUGCCGUGCGUUCGGUACUUGAUUGGUUGGAUGGCAAAGACAUUAGACUACAUCAACCGCGUUUCUUAACGCUUCCGCUUUCGGUCUACGAGGGUACUGAUAUGUCUCCAACGUAUCUAUAAUUUUUGAUUGCUCCAUGCUAUAUUAUCUACUGUUUUGGACUAUAUUGGGCUCUAUUUUCCACUUUUAUAUUAUUUUUGGGACUAACCUAUUAACCGGAGGCCCAGCACAGAAUUGAUGUUUUUUGCCUAUUUCAGUGUUUCGAAGAAACAGAAUAUCAAACGGAGUCCAAACAGAAAAAUCCUUUUUGGAACGUGAUUUUCUUCUUGGAUAAGACCCAGGAGACUUGGACCCUACUCCAAGAAGUACCGGAGGCAGUCACGAGGGUAGGGGCGCCCCCCCUACAGGGCGCGCCCCCUGCCUCGUGGGCCCCUCAGUGCUCCACCGACGUACUCCUUCCUCCUAUAUAUACCCACGUACCCCCAAACGAUCAGAACAAGAGCAAAAAAACUAAUUCCACCGCCGCAACUUUCUGUAUCCACGAGAUCCCAUCUUGGGGCCUGUUCCGGAGCUCCGCCGGAGAGGGCCGUCAUCACGGAGGGCUUCUACAUCAUCAUAUCCCCUCCGAUGAAGUGUGAGUAGUUUACCUCAGACCUUCGGGUCCAUAGUUAGUAGCUAGAUGGCUUCUUCUCUCUUUUUGGAUCUCAAUACAAUGUUCUCCCCCGCUCUUGUGGAGAUCUAUUCGAUGUAAUCUUCUUCUUUUGCGGUGUGUUUGUUGAGACCGAUGAAUUGUGGGUUUAUGAUCAAGUCUAUCUAUGAACAAUAUUUGAAUCUUCUCUGAAUUCUUUUAUGUAUGAUUGGUUAUCUUUGCAAGUCUCUUCGAAUUAUCCGUUUGGUUUGGCCAACUAGAUUGGUAGUUCUUGUCAUGGGAGAAGUGCUUAGCUUUGGGUUCGAUCUUGCGAUGUUCUUUCCCAGUGACAGAAGGGGCAGCAAGACACGUAUUGUAUCGUUGCCAUCGAGGAUAACAAGAUGGGGUUUAUUUCAUAUUGCAUGAAUUUAUCUCUCUACAUCAUGUCAUCUUGCUUAAAGUGUUACUCUGUUUUUAACUUAAUAAUCUAGAUGCAUGUUGGAUAGCGGUCGAUGAGUGGAGUAAUAGUAGUAGAUGCAGAAUUGUUUCGAUCUACUUGUCACGAACGUGAUGCCUAUAUACAUGAUCAUGCCUAGAUAUUCUCAUAACUAUGCUCAAUUCUGUCAAUUGCUCAACAGUAAUUUGUUCACCCACCGUAGAAAACUUAUGCUCUCGAGAGAAGCCACUAGUGAAACCUAUGGCCCCCGGGUCUAUUCUCAUCAUAUCAAUCUCCAUCACUUUAAUCUUGUUUUGCUAUUUACUUUGCUUUUACUUUUUACUUUGCAUCUUUAUAUCAAAAAUACCAAAAAUAUUCUAUCUAUCAGAUCUCACUCUCGUAAGUGACCGUGAAGGGCUUGACAACCCCUAAUCGCAUUGGUUGUGGGUAGCUAUCGCUUUGUGCAGGUACGAGGGACUUGAGCGUGGGCUCCUACUGGAUUGAUACCUUGGUUCUCAAAAACUGAGGGAAAUACUUACGCUACUCUGCUGCAUCAUCCCUUCCUCUUCGGGGAAAACCAACGCAAGCUCAAGACGUAGCAAGAAGGAUUUCUGGCACCGUUGCCGGGGAGUCUACGCAAAAAGUCAACAUACCAAGUACCCAUCACAAUCCCUAUCUCUCGCAUUACAUUAUUUGUCAUUUGCCUCUCGUUUUCCUCUCCCCCACUUCACCCUUGCUGUUUUAUUCGCCCUCUCUCUCUCUAUCCUCCCUCUCUUUCUCUAUUUGCCUCUUUUUGCCCGUUUCUUGUUUGCUCGUAUGGUUGGAUUAGUUGUUUAUUUAUUACUAAACAGAGAACCUAAGAUCUAUGGAUCCUCAUCCACUUGCUAAUCUUUUUAAGAGACCCAAUUAUGAUGAGCCAAUUGCUAGUGAGUUUUGUGCACUAGAUUAUUUUUAUGAAGUUUUGCUUGAAAUUCGUGGAUCUGAAAAGUGUGAUGAAUUACUUUAUGAAGCGAUUCACAAUAGAUCUUUGAAUAAAAAGCAUGAUUGCAAUGAUUUUACUAUAAAUUCUCUUGAUGUCAAUUGUGCUAAUAGUAUGCAAAACCCUAAGCUUGGGGAUGCUAGUUUUGCUAUGUCUACUACUUGUUGUAAUGAUCAUGAUUGGGGUGAUUCUUCUUAUGAUAUUGAAAAUUUAUUUAUACCCCAUGAUGAAUAUGAGAUUGAUAAUAGUGUUUGCAAUAUUAUUGAAAGUCGGUUUGUAAAGGUCAUGACUUUAGUUAAUGUGAAUCCCACUAUUUUGGAAGAAUGUCAACUUUGCAUGCAUAUGGAUAGUGUUGAAAAUAUUUUGUGUGAUACCUAUUUUGUUGAAUUUGCUUACGAUCCCUCAUGCAAUUAUUAUGAGAGAGGAAAAAUAUGGUGGUAGAAAUUUUCAUGUUACUAAAUUACCUCGUUAUGUUGAGAUUGCUAUUGUUUCUUUCCGCUUCCUUGCAUAUGCUAGUUUUUGCUUGCGUUGACAAUUUGUUUGCCUAUAAAAUACCUAUGCAUAGGAAGUAUGUUAGACUUAUAUGUGUUUGUCACUUGUUUUAUGAUGUUCUCUUUGUGUUUCAAUUCUUGUCUUUCAUGUGAGCAUCAUUAAAAUUAUCAAUGCCUAGCUUUAAGGAUUUAAAGAAAAGCGCUUGUUGGGAGACAACCCAAUAUUUAUCCUUUCAUGUUAUUCAAUAAAUAAAUUAUUUAUCCUCUGUUUUGGUUGUGUUUUUUGUGUUUAAUUAGUGUUUGUUCCAAGUAGAACCGUUGGGAAGACUUGGGGAAAGUCUUGUUGAACUUGCUGUAAAAAACAGAAACUUUAGCGCUCACCAGAACUGCUGUCAUUUUUAUUUCAAGAGUGCUAUUUAGUUAAUUAUUUUUGAAGAUGAUUAAUAGAUAAAUUACUCACUUACAGAAAUUUAUUUUAGAAUUUUUGGGGUUCCAGAUCUUGCGCUAGCUACAGAUUACUACAGACUGUUCUGUUUUUAACAGAUUCUGUUUUUCGUGUGUUGUUUGCUUAUUUUCAUGAAUCUAUGGUUAGUAAAAUAGUUUAUAAUCCAUAGAGAAGUUGGAAUACAGUAGGUUUAACACCAAUAUAAAUAAAUAAUGAGUUCAUUACAUUACCUUGAAGUGGUCUUUUGUUUUCUUUCGCUAACGGAGCUCACGAGUUUUCUAUUUUGAGUUUUGUGUUGUGAAGUUUUCAAGUUUUGGGUGAAUUCUUUUGAUGGAUUAUGGAACAAGGAGUGGAAAGAGCCUAAGCUUGGGGAUGCCCAUGGCACCCCAAGAUAAUCCAAGGACACCAAAAAGUCAAAGCUUGGGGAUGCCCCGGAAGGCAUCCCCUCUUUCGUCCACUUCCAUCGGUAAUUUACUUGGAGCUAUAUUUUUAUUCACCAACAUGAUAUGUGUUUUGCUUGGAGCGUCUUGUAUUAUUUGUGUCUUUGUUUGUUAGUGUGCCACAAUCAUCCUUGCUGUACACACCUUUUGAGAGAGUCAAAUAUGAAUUAAAAUUUGAUAGAAUACUCUAUGUGCUUCACUUAUAUCUUUUGAGCUAUGUAGUUUUGCUCUACGUGCUUCACUUAUAUCUUUUGAGCAUUAUAAUUUUGCUCUAUGUGCUUCACUUAGAUAUUUUAGAGCACGGUGGUGGUUUGUUUUAAAUAAACUAUUGACCUCUCAUGCUUCACUUAAAUUAUUUUGAGAGUCUUAAUAGCAUGGUAAUUUGCUUAAUAUAAAUAUGCUUGGUGUUCAAGAUAUGUGAAAUUUUCUUUUGAGUGCGUUGAAUACUAAGAGAAGAUUGAAGCAUGAUAAUUGUUUUGAGAUAUGGAGGUGAUAAUAUUAGUGUUAUGCUAGUUUAGUAGUUGUAAAUUUAAAGAAUACUUGUGUUAAAGUUUGUGAUUCCCGUAGCAUGCACGUAUGGUGAACCGUUAUGUGAUGAAGUCGGAGCAUAAUUUAUUUAUUGAUUGUCUUCCUUAUGAGUGGCGGUCGGGGACGAGCGAUGGUCUUUUCCUACCAAUCUAUCCCCCUAGGAGCAUGCAUGUAAUACUUUGCUUUGAUAACUUCUAGAUUUUUGCAAUAAUUAUAUGAGUUCUUUAUGACUAAUGUUGAGUCCAUGGAUUAUAUGCACUUUUUCCCAUCCUUCCACCAUUGCUAGCCUCUCUAAUACCGUGCACCUUUCGCCGGUAUCAUACACCCACCAUAUACCUUCCUCAAAACAGCCACCAUACUUAGCUAUCAUGGCAUUUCCAUAGCCAUUCCGAGAUAUAUUGCCAUGCAACUUUCCACCAUUUCGUUUAUUAUGACACGCUCCAUCAUUGUCAUAUAGCUAGCAUGAUCAUGUAGUUGACAUCGUAUUUGUGGCAAAGCCACCAUUCAUAAUUCUUUCAUACAUGUCACUCUUGAUUCAUUGCAUAUCCCGGUACACCGUCGGAAGCAUUCAUAUAGAGUCAUAUUUGUUCUAAGUAUCGAGUUGUAAUUGUUGAGUUGUAAGAAAAAUAAAAAGUGUGAUGAUCAUCAUUUUCUAGAGCAUUAUCCCAAGUGAGGAAAGGAUGAUGGAGACUAUGAUUCCCCCAUAAGUCGGGAUGAGACUCCGGACGAAAAAAGAGGCCAUAAAAAAAGAGAAGAGGCCCAAAUAAAAAAAUGAGAGAAAAAGAGAGAAGGGACAAUGUUACUAUCCUUUUACCACACUUGUGCUUCAAAGUAGCACCAUGAUAUUCAUGAUAGAGAGUCUCUUGUUAUGUCACUUUCAUAUACUAGUGGUAAUUUUUCAUCACAGAACUUGGCUUGUAUAUUCCAAUGAUGGGCUUCCUCAAAUUGCCCUAGGUCUUCGUGAGCAAGCGAGUUGGAUGCACAUCCACUUAGUUUCUUUUGAUGAGCUUUCAUAUACUUAUAGCUCUAGUGCAUCCGUUGCAUGGCAAUCCCUACUCACUCACAUUGAUAUCUAUUGAUGGGCCUCUCCAUAGCCCGUUGAUACGCCUAGUUGAUGUGAGACUAUCUUCCCCUCUUUUUGUCUUCUCCACAACCACCCUUCUAUUCCACAUAGUGCUAUGUCCAUGGCUCACGCUCAUGUAUUGCGUGAAGAUUGAAAAAGUUUUGAAAAAGUUAGAGUAUGAAACAAUUGCUUGGCUUGUCAUCGGGGUUGUGCAUGAUUUAAAUACUUUGUGUGGUGAAGAUAGAGCAUAGCCAGACUAUAUGAUUUUGUAGGGAUAACUUUCUUUGGCCAUGUUAUUUUGAGAAGACAUAAUUACUUUAUUAGUAUGCUUGAAGUGUUAUUAUUCUUUUAUGUCAAUAUGAACUUUUGUCUUGAAUCUUUCUAAUCUGAAUAUCCAUACCACAAUUAAGAAAUUUUGCAUUGAAAUUAUGCCAAGUAGCACUCCACAUCAAAAAUUCUCUUUUUAUCAUUUACCUACUCGAGGACGAGCAGGAAUUAAGCUUGGGGAUGCCUGAUACGUUUCCAACAUAUCUAUAAUUUUUGAUUGCUCCAUGCUAUAUUAUCUACUGUUUUGGACUAUACUGGGCUCUAUUUUCCACUUUUAUAUUAUUUUUGGGACUAACCUAUUAACCGGAGGCCCAGCCCAGAAUUGAUGUUUUUUGCCUAUUUCAGUGUUUCGAAGAAACAAAAUAUCAAACGGAGUCCAAACAGAAAAAUCCUUUUUGGAACGUGAUUUUCUUCUCGGAUAAGACCCAGGAGACUUGGACCCUACUCCAAGAAGUACCGGAGGUGGUCACGAGGGUAGGGGGCGCGCCCCCCUACAGGGCGCGCCCCCUGCCUCGUGGCUCCCUCGGUGCUCCACCGACGUACUCCUUCCUCCUAUAUAUACCCACGUACUCCCAAACGAUCAGAACAGGAGCAAAAAAACUAAUUCCACCGCCGCAACUUUCUGUAUCCACGAGAUCCCAUCUUGGAGCCUAUUCCGGAGCUCCGCCGGAGAGGGCCGUCAUCACAGAGGGCUUCUACAUCAUCAUAGCCCCUCCGAUGAAGUGUGAGUAGUUUACCUCAGACCUUCGGGUCCAUAGUUAGUAGCUAGAUGGCUUCUUCUCUCUUUUUGGAUCUCAAUACAAUGUUCUCCCCCUCUCUUGUGGAGAUCUAUUCGAUGUAAUCUUCUUCUUUUGCGGUGUGUUUGUUGAGACCGAUGAAUUGUGGGUUUAUGAUCAAGUCUAUCUAUGAACAAUAUUUGAAUCUUCUCUGAAUUCUUUUAUGUAUGAUUGGUUAUCUUUGCAAGUCUCUUCGAAUUAUCCGUUUGGUUUGGCCAACUAGAUUGGUAGUUCUUGCCAUGGGAGAAGUGCUUAGCUUUGGGUUCGAUCUUGCGGUGUUCUUUCCCAGUGACAGAAGGGGCAGCAAGACACGUAUUAUAUCGUUGCCAUCGAGGAUAACAAGAUGGGGUUUAUUUCAUAUUGCAUGAAUUUAUCUCUCUACAUCAUGUCAUCUUGCUUAAAGCGUUACUCUGUUUUUAACUUAAUACUCUAGAUGCAUGCUGGAUAGCGGUCGAUGAGUGGAGUAAUAGUAGUAGAUGCAGAAUCGUUUCGAUCUACUUGUCACGGACGUGAUGCCUAUAUACAUGAUCAUGCCUAGAUAUUCUCAUAACUAUGCUCAAUUCUGUCAAUUGCUCAACAGUAAUUUGUUCACCCACCGUAGAAAACUUAUGCUCUCGAGAGAAGCCACUAGUGAAACCUAUGGCCCCCGGGUCUAUUCUCAUCAUAUCAAUCUCCAUCACUUUAAUCUUGUUUUGCUAUUUACUUUGCUUUUACUUUUUACUUUGCAUCUUUAUAUCAAAAAUACCAAAAAUAUUCUAUCUAUCAGAUCUCACUCUUGUAAGUGACCGUGAAGGGCUUGACAACCCCUAAUCGCGUUGGUUGCGGGUAGCUAUCGCUUUGUGCAGGUACCAGGGACUUGAGCGUGGGCUCCUACUGGAUUGAUACCUUGGUUCUCAAAAACUGAGGGAAAUACUUACGCUACUCUGCUGCAUCAUCCCUUCCUCUUUGGGGAAAACCAACGCAAGCUCAAGACGUAGCAUGUAUGUUUUCAUACUCUCCCCUCUCGUUGCUAUGCAUCCCUAGAUAGAUCUUGCAUGAUCGUAGGAUUUUUUUUUGAAAUACUACAUUCCCCAACAGUGGCAUCCGAGCUAGGUCUAUGCGUAGAUGUUAUAUGCAUGAGUAGAACACAAAUGAGUUGUGGGCGUGGGUAUAUACAUAUUGCUUGCCGUCACUAGUUGUUUCUUGAUUCGACGGUAUUGUUGGAUGAAGCGGCCCGGACCGACAUUACAUGAUUGCGUUCAUGAGACUGGUUCUACCGACGUGCUUUGCACACAGGUGGUUGGUGGGUGUCAGUUUCUCCAACUUUAGUUGAAUCGGAUUCAAUGAAUAGGGUUCUUACUGAAGAUCAAAAAGCAAUCACUAUACCGCGUUAUGGUUUUUGAUGCGUACGUAAGAACGGUUCUUGCUAAGCCCGUAGCAGCCAUGUAAAACUUGCAACAACAAAGUAGAGGACGUCUAACUUGUUUUUGCAGGGCAUGUUGUGAUGUGAUAUGGUCAAGAUGCGAUUAUAUAAAUUAUUGUAUGAGAUGAUCAUGUUGUGUAACACUGUUAUCGGCAACUGGUAGGAGCCAUAUGGUUUUCACUUUAUUGUAUGAAAUGCAAUCGCCAUGUAAUUGCUUUACUUUAUCACUAAGCGGUAGCGAUAGUCGUAGAAGCAAUAGUUGGCAAGACGACAACGAUGCUACGAUGGAGAUCAAGUUGUCAAGCUGGUAACGAUGGUGAUCAUAACGGUGCUUGGGAGAUGGAGAUCAAAGGCACAAGAUGAUGAUGGCCAUAUCAUAUCAGUUAUAUUGAUUGCAUGUGAUGUUUAUCCUUUAUGCAUCUUAUUUUGCUUAAUACAGCAGUAGCAUUAUAAGAUGAUCUCUCACUAAAUUUCAAGGUAUAAGGUUGUAACACCCCGGAUAUGAUUUGCCUAAUAUGUUAUCCAACUCUUGCCGUUUCCGGCGUUAAGUUAUUUUAUUUUCUCGGGUUCGGGUUUUUGUCUCCGUGUGUUGUUGUCGUUGUCAUGCAUCUCAUAUCAUAUCAUCAUGUGCAUUGCAUUUGCAUACGUGUCCAUCUCAUGCAUUCGAGCAUUUUCCCCGUUGUCCGUUUUGCAUUACGGCGCUUCGUUCUCCUCUGGUGGUCAUUUCUACCUUUCUUUCGUGUGUGGGGAUUAAACAUUUCCGGAUUGGACCGAGACUUGCCAAGCGGCCUUGGUUUAAUACCGGUAGACCGCCUGUCAAGUUUCGUACCAUUUGGACUUCGUUUGAUGCUCCAACGGUUAACCGAGGGACCGAAAAGGCCUCGUGUGUGUUGCAGCCCAACACCCCUCCAUUUUGGCCCAAAACCCACCAAAACUCUCUCCAUCAUCUAGAGCGUUCGAUCACAAUCGUGUGGCCGAAAACCGCACCGCAUUUGGACACUCCUAGCUCCCUCUAUGUCUAUAUAUAGACCCCUCCAAAAAAUCCGCGGUUCCACUCUCCCCCAAACCCUAGCCCCGCUCCAUCCGCGCGCCGGACAAAUCCCGCCACCGCGCCCGCGCCAAUCGGCGCGUGACACGUGGCACGCCCNNNNNNNNNNNNNNNNNNNNNNNNNNNNNNNNNNNNNNNNNNNNNNNNNNNNNNNNNNNNNNNNNNNNNNNNNNNNNNNNNNNNNNNNNNNNNNNNNNNNNNNNNNNNNNNNNNNNNNNNNNNNNNNNNNNNNNNNNNNNNNNNNNNNNNNNNNNNNNNNNNNNNNNNNNNNNNNNNNNNNNNNNNNNNNNNNNNNNNNNNNNNNNNNNNNNNNNNNNNNNNNNNNNNNNNNNNNNNNNNNNNNNNNNNNNNNNNNNNNNNNNNNNNNNNNNNNNNNNNNNNNNNNNNNNNNNNNNNNNNNNNNNNNNNNNNNNNNNNNNNNNNNNNNNNNNNNNNNNNNNNNNNNNNNNNNNNNNNNNNNNNNNNNNAGUCCUGGCCGGCCGCCGCCUCCUCCCGGCGCGCGCGCCUCGCCUCCGGCCAGAUCCGGCCGCGGGAGGGCCGGAUCCGGCGACCCCGACCUCGCCGGCCGUCGUCGUCGUCAUCUCCGGCGAGAUCCUCCACCGCCUCGUUUUGCGUGCCCGGGUCAACCCUAAUCCGCGAGGUGGAAUUUUCUUCUAAGUCCCCGAUUCCCAGAUCCAUAUGCCCAUGUUCAUCGCAUCGUAACUCCGCAUCCGUAGCUCCAUUUUGGGCAUAUAGCAUAUCAAAAUGUUCGCCUCAGAGAGAACAUCAUUUCAUCUCAUUGCAUCAUUUUCAUUUGAGUUCGUCUUGAUACCCGAAAUGCUGUUGGAAGAGUGCUAUUUGAGAUAAUUGUCAGAUGUGCUGCUCCAAUUAGACAUUUGUCAUUUUUGCCAUGAUUAUUGUGUGCAUGAUAUGCCCCUGAGCUCUACAUGAGUUUUGUUAUAUGCUUUACCAUCUAUCCAGAGGUGCAACCCAUGUAUUUUUGUGAUGUGUGUGGUGACUAGCACAAGCUUGCAAAGUGGAGCAUUCGUUAAUGCUGAUUUCAGGGACUUAGCAUUUCCACUAAGUCCUUGAUCUGUUUAUCUCCAUAUGCCAUAUGUUCAUGUUGUUUCCUAGUGAUCCGUGCCUCUUUUGAGGAUGAUCAGUAAGGAUGUUUUGUUAAUCUUGUAGUGCUAUAUCCAUCCAUGUCUUUGUUUGCAAUUAUGGAGCACCCUAGCUUGAGUCAAUCGAGCUCUACUUUUGUCAUUUCGUGAAUCUGGGCAGAUUGUCUACUUGUUAGCAAUUUUGCCGAGGAUGUUGUAGUUGAUCCGUGCAUGCUAUGUUAUUGUUCUUGCCAUGUCUAGCUUAUAUUAUGUGUUUUCUUGAUGGGUGUAUGCUUAGAUUGUCGUGACUUGCUCUGUAGUGAGUGCAUCAAGCUCGUAAACAUGUCUACUUGAUAUCUGUUUCAGCAUGCUCCAGUUUUCACCAAGUCUGAGAACUGAUUAUGUUUUUGCCAUGUUCACAUGCUUGCAAAUGUAUUUUCUGAUCCCUUUGGGCUCAAGGUCACUAAGGGACUUUUGUUAAGCUCUUUGAGUAGCUCCAUGACAUGCUUUACUUUGCCAUGUUCAGGUCCUGUAGCAUAUAGUUUUCAUGCUCCAAAGUGUGCUACCUGAUCUAAAAUUCCAAACAAGUGUUGAUUUCACUAAGUCUGAAAUCUGUUUACCAAAUGCAUUUUUGCCAUGCUUGUUUGAACCUGUUAAUGGAUGAAUUGGCCAUAGCUCAGUGCUAGUCUUUUGUUAAGCAUCAUGGAUGGAUCCCUGCCAUGUAUUUUGAUGCCAUGUUUGGGUGCUAUAGCAUGUUCAUCUUGUUGCAUGUUCAUCUUGUUGCAUUUAGAUGGCUACUUGUAGCGUGGUUGAUUGUGUCCUUGUUGCUUGUUUGUCUUGUUUGUGUAGAGCCGGGAGACGAGUUCGCUAACGAGGAGCCCGUUGAGUUUGCUUUCGAGGAUCCAGUCAACUCUGACAACUUUGCAGGCAAGAUGAUCAUACCCUCGAAAUCACUAAUAUCUUUGCUUUGCUAGAUGCUCGCUCUUUUGCUAUGCCUAUGCUACGAUGCCUACCACUUGCUUAUCAUGCCUCCCAAAUUGCCAUGUCAAACCUCUAACCCACCAUGUCCUAGCAAACCGUUGACUGGCUAUGUUACCGCUUUGCUCAGCCCCUCCUAUAGCGUUGCUAGUUGCAGGUGAAGAUUGGAGACCGUUCCUUGUUGGGACAUUAUUUACUUGUUGGGAUAUCAUUAUAUUGCCUUGUUAUCUUAACCCAUCUAUAUACUGGUAAAGGGUGGAAGGCUCGGCCUCUCGCCUAGUGUUUUGUUCCACUCUUGCCGCCCUAGUUUCCGUCAUAUCGGUGUUAUGUUCCCGGAUUUUGCGUUCCUUACGCGGUUGGGUGAUAAUGGGAACCCCUUGAUAGUUCGCCUUGAUUAAAGCUUUUCCAGCAAUGCUCAACCUUGGUUUUACCAUUUGCCACCUAGCCUCUUUUUCCCUUGGGUUUCCGGAGCCCGAGGGUCAUCUUAUUUAACCCCCCCCCCCGGGUCAGUGCUCCUAUGAGUGUUGGUCCGAACCAGGCAGCCUGCGGGGCCACCUCGGGGAAACUCGAGGGCUGGUUUUACUCGUAGCUUGACCUAUCUGAGUGUGACCUGUGAACGAGAUAUGUGCAGCUCUAAUCGGGAUUUGUCGGCACAUUCGGGCGGUGUUGCUGGAUUUGUUUUAACUUGUCAAAGUGUCUUGUAGAACCGGGAUACCGAGUCUGAUCGGAAUGUCUCGGGAGAAGGUCUAUUCCUUCGUUGACCGUGAGAGCUUGUCAUGGGAUAAGUUGGGACUCCCCUGCAGGGAUUUGAACUUUUGAAAGCCGUGCCCGCGGUUACGGGCAGAUGGGAAUUUGUUAAUGUCCGGUUGUAGACAACUUGAACCUUAACUUAAUUAAAAUGAAUCAACAGUGUGAGUUACCGUGAUGGUCUCUUCUCGGCGGAGUCCGGGAAGUGAACACGGUGUUGGAGUAAUGCUUGCCACAGGUUGCUCUCUAGUUAUUCGUUCGCGCUUUGCCUUCUCUUCUCGCUCUCUUUUGCGAACAGGUUAGGCACCAUAUAUGCUAGUCGCUUGCUGCAGCUCCACAUAUUUUACCUUGCCCUUACCUAUAAGCUUAAAUAGUCUUGAUCGCGAGGGUGCGAGAUUGCUGAGUCCCUGUGGCUCACAGAUUACUUCCAAACCAGAUGCAGGGCCUGAUGAUUCCGUUCCAGAUGACGUGCUUGAGCUCAAGUGGGAGUUCGACGAGGACUCACGCCGAUAUUAUGUGUCUUUCCCUGAUGAUCAGUAGUGGUGCCCAGUUGGGGUGAUCGGGACCGUGUCGCAUGUUGGGUUUAUCUUUUAUUUUGGCGCCGUAGUCGGGCCAUGAGUGUUUGAUUGAUUUAAUGCUAUUUAUGUACUUUGAUUGGCGUGGCGAGUGUAAGCCAACUAUGUAUCUCCCCUUUAUUAUCUAUAUUACAUGGGUUGUUGUGAAGAUUGCCUAACUUGCGACAUUGCUUUCAAUGCAGUUAUGCCUCUAAGUCGUGCCUCGACAUGUGGGAGCUAUAGCCGCAUCGAGGGCGUUACAAGUUGGUAUCAGAGCCUUCCCCGACCUUAGGAGCCCCCAUUGCUUGAUCGUUUUUAGCGGCCGAGUUGAGUCUAGAAAAAAAUAUUUUGAGUCAUUUAGGAAUUAUAUAUUGGAGAGUUUAGGAAUUCUUUUUACUCCCCAUUCUCCUCAUCGCUCUGGUAAGGCAUCCUGACGUAGAGUUUUGACUAUUCUCUUCUCAAAUUUCACUAAAAAAAUUUAGGAUCACGCGGGUAUCUUGGAAUCGUUUCGAUGGUUUUGUGACAAGAACAUUGUUCUUGGUGCCUCCUGUCUUUAGGGGUUGUGGCAGUGUCCCAGAGAGUUGAGCUCUGAGGUGUUGUCGUCACAAUUUUAUCGUUGCAGUUCUGGAAUACCUGAUUUUAGUAUGCUGACAUCGAAAAUCUCUUUUAUGCAGUUCGUUGGUGAGAUAACCUCGACGCCACCCAGUACUGGGGCGGGAGUUCGGGAGUAUCACCAUAACUUGUAUAACGGAUGCUUUUCGAAGGUUGAGGUAGAUGGUUUCCGAAGUUUUUCUCGGUUAUGUGUUGAAGGAUGGAUAUAGCUGGAUGUAGGAUUUGCUAGAUUUGGGUGAGAUAUUAUGCUUCCCCUGUAUCCCCAACACCUGAUUGCAUAACCGGAAAGGUUCGGGAGUUUCAUAGGUGGGAAUUCUUGUAGCUCUAGUUCUUCUUCCACGGAUAUUGGUUUGAGAUUGGGAUUUCUUACCGAGUAUUUGUUCUUGAUCCGUACCUUGUUAAUUUAUUUCUCUACCUAAAUUCUAAGUGGCUUAUCAAUUUAUGGAUAUGUGACCAUUUCAAGUGGAAUGCAUUCGUUCUUAUGUUCGGAUGUGAAGACUAUAUGUUGCAAUUUCAACCCGUUUGAUUCAGCUUCAUUUUAUCUAUCAAUGUGCUAACGGUUGUCACCCUCUUCAGGAUGGCUCCCGCUAAGAGCACCAACCAGAAUCAGAAUCAGGAUCCGCCACCACCUCCUCCUCCUCCAGAGGCAUGGCAAGCUGUGAUGGCCGCAAUCAAUGCAAACACACAGUUGAUCAUGCAAAUUCUUCAAGAGCGCAAUCAAGCGAACCAAGGCAACCAAGGCAACAAUCAGAAUCACUUUGCUACACUCAACCAGUUCCUUGCUAACGGGCCAAAGACUUUCAGCAAUUGUGUUGAGGCAACUGAUGCUGACGAUUGGCUCAUGGAUCUGUGCAAGCAUUUCGAGUGCAGUAACGUCAGGCCUGAGGACUUUGUCAAGUUCGCUUCCUUCCAACUCAAAGACCAAGCUGCAGAAUGGUUCCUGCAGUACAAGGAUUCCAGAGGAGGCCGUGUGAUUACCUAGAAUGAAUUCCGUCAAGACUUCAAAGCUCAUCAUAUUCCUCAGAGCGUGGUUGAAAGCAAGCAUGAGGAAUUCCACAACCUGAAGCAAGGCUCUUUGUCUGUCUAUGACUACAACAAGUCGUUUCAGAAGCUCGCCCGCUUUGCUAAGCAGGACGUCCCCGACGACAAGAGCAUGAUAUACCAAUUCAGGGGUGGUCUCAGAGAAGAAAUUCAGCUAGCUCUUGUUCUCUUUGAGCCCUUGAGAUACGAUGAGUUCUACAACAUGGCAUUGAAGCAAGAGGCCGCUCAACUAAGGUGUGAUGCUUCCAAGAAGCGAGUCAGAGAUGCUACUCCUUCUUCCUCUACUCAAGUGGCCAAGCAGCAGAAGUUUUGGCUUCCUCCUCCUCCAUUCCGUCAGCCGUACCAACAAAAGAGCAAACGUGGAAGUGGAUGUUCCCACCCACCCAACCCUGGCUUUCAGAACAAGACUUCGUCUCAAGCUCCAAGAUCGAGUGCUCCGUAUCACCGUCCGCUUUCAAAGGUCACGUGCAACAAGUGCCAACAGAAGGGUCACUAUGCCAACAAAUGCUUCAAUCAGAGGCGUCUUCCUCCUCCUCCUCCUGUGAGAUCGGCAAGUACAGCUGUGGUCAAGCAUAACCCCAAGCACGCCAAGGUCAACUUGAUGAAUGCAGCUCAGGCAGAGGACUCGUCAGAUGUCAUCAUGGGUAACCUUCCUGUUAACGAUAUUCUUGCAAGAGUUCUUUUUGACACUGGUGCAUCGCAUUGUUUCAUGUCAAAGCCAUUUUUUACCAAGCAUGAAUUCGUUUCUUCUCAUUUGGGUAAACAAAUGGAUAUCGUUUCUCCUGGCAAACGUUUGAGUGCAAGUCUGGAGGUGCCAGAUGUUACUAUCACCUUGGGCGACUACAAGUUCCUUUCUUCCCUAAUGGUUCUUGGUGACUCGGACAUUGAUCUUAUUCUCGGAAUGGAUUGGCUUUCUAAGCACAAGGCUCAGCUUGAUUGUGCAGCCAGACAGAUUCAAUUGACUCAUUCGUCUGAGGAUGUAAUUGUCUUUGCCGCUCGUGAUGAUACCAUCCGUCUGUUCUCUCUCAAUGAGAAGGGUGAACUGGAUGCUAUCUCGCAAAUUCCAGUCGUUUGCGAAUAUCAAAACGUCUUUCCAGAAGAGCUUCCAGGAAUGCCUCCACACCGGCCAGUUGAAUUCGUCAUCGAUCUUGAGCCUGGCACGGAACCUGUGUGCAAGCGUCCUUACAAGCUCGGACCUGAAGAGUUCAAGGAGCUGAAGAAGCAACUCGAUGUUCAAGAGAGAAUGGGCCUCAUCCGACCUAGUUCUUCUCCGUGGGGUUGUGGUGUUCUUUUUGUGAAGAAGAAGGAUGGAACGGACCGACUUUGUGUUGAUUACCGUCCAUUGAACAAGAAGACCAUCAAGAACAAAUACCCACUUCCCAACAUAAACGAGCUGUUCGAACAACUCAAAGGUGCCCAAGUAUUCUCCAAGCUUGAUCUCCGUAUGGGUUAUCAUCAGAUUCGAAUCCGCGAGCAAGAUAUUCCCAAGACGGCUUUCAGGACAAGCUUUGGUUCAUAUGAAUACACUGUCAUGUCUUUUGGCCUCGUCAACACUCCUCCGACUUUCUCUCGCAUGAUGAACUUCAUCUUCAAUGCCUACACCAAUGACUUUGUUUUGGUCUAUCUCGACGACAUUCUGGUCUUUUCGAAGAACAAGGAAGAUCAUGCCAAGCACUUGCGUGUGGUACUCGAUAAGCUCAGGGAACACAAGUUCUACGCCAAGUUCUCCAAGUGCGAAUUUUGGUUCGAUGAGGUUCUUUAUCUUGGUCAUAUCAUCUCUGCCAAGGGCAUUGCGGUGAAUCCAGAGAAGGUGUCUGCAAUUGUGAAUUGGGAACCACCUCAGAACGUGAAGCAACUCCAUAGCUUCCUCGGUCUCACAAGCUACUGUCGAAGAUUCGUUGAAAACUUUUCUAAGAUCGCGAAGCCUCUCUCAAAUCUUCUCCAGAAGCACGUCAAGUACGUUUGGUCUCCGGAGUGUGACAUUGCUUUCAACACUUUGAAAGAGAAAUUGGUCACUGCUCCAGUUUUGACUCCGCCUGAUGAAUCCAAGCCGUACGAGGUCUUUUGCGAUGCCUCUCUCCAAGGUCUUGGCGCAGUGUUGAUGCAAGAGAAGAAAGUUGUGGCUUAUACCUCUCGCCAGUUGAAGCCCAACGAGAAGAACUACCCCACUCAUGACCUUGAGUUGGCGGCAGUUGUGCAUGCUCUUUUGACUUGGAGACAUCUUUUAUUGGGAAGAAAAGUGGACAUUUUCACUGAUCACAAGAGUCUCAAGUACAUCUUCACUUAGCCUAAUCUCAACCUCAGGCAAACUCGAUGGGUCGAAAUGAUUCAAGAGUAUAAUCCAAGUAUCGAGUAUACUCCAGGCAAGGCCAAUGUGAUUGCUGACGCAUUGAGCAGGAAGGCUUAUUGCAACAGCCUGAUUCUCAAGCCUUAUCAACCCGAGCUUUGUGAAGCUUUCCGCAAACUUAAUCUGAAAGUUGUUCCUCAAGGUUUCCUCGCCAACCUUCAAGUCUCUCCUACCUUGGAAGACCAGAUUCACCAAGCCCAGCUUCUUGAUGCUAUGGUGAAAAAGGUGAAGAUUGGGAUUGCCAAGAGUCAACCCAAGUACAAGUGCUACCGCCUUGAUGACAAGGAUACUCUCUUCUUCGAGGAUCGUAUUGUUGUGCCCAAAGGUGACCUUCAUAAAGUGAUCAUGGAUGAGGCUCACAAUUCUCUCCUCCCAUCCACCCUGGGAGCACGAAGAUGUAUGAGGACCUCAAGCAGGCUUAUUGGUGGACUCGAAUGAAGCGCGAGAUUGCUUAGUUCGUGAAUGAAUGUGAUGUCUGCAGAAGAGUGAAGGCAGAACACCAAAGGCCAGCUGGUCUCCUCCAACCUCUUGCCAUUCCAGAAUGGAAGUUUGACCACAUUGAGAUGGACUUCAUGACUGGGUUUCCAAAGUCCAAGCGUGGCAAUGAUGCUAUAUUCGUUGUCAUCGACAAACUCACUAAAGUGGCUCACUUUCUGCCUAUCAAAGAGUCAAUCACUGCAGCUCAAUUGGCGAAGCUCUAUACCUCUCGAAUUGUCUCUCUGCAUGGUAUUCCACAAGUGAUCUCUUCAGACCGUGGCAACAUCUUUACCUCCAAGUUUUGGGAUUCUUUUCAGAAGGCCAUGGGCACCAACAUCCGCUUCAGCACAGCUUUCCAUCCUCAAACUAGCGGUCAAGUCGAGCGUGUCAACCAGAUUCUUGAAGAUAUGCUCAAGGCUUGUGUGAUCUCCUUUGGCAUGAAGUGGGAGGAUUGUCUUCCAUAUGCUGAAUUCUCCUACAACAACAGUUUUCAAGCAAGUUCGAGCAAGGCCCCAUUUGAAAUUCUGUAUGGUAGGAAGUGCCGUACCCCUCUCAACUGGUCCGAAACCGGUGAACAUCAGCUUUUGGGUAAUGACUUAAUCACAGAGGCAGAGGAAAUGUGCAAAGUCAUUCGAGAUAACCUCAAAGCAGCCCAAUCCCGCCAGAAGAGCUACUAUGAUAGUAAGCACCAUGAUUUGGCUUUCGAGAUCGGAGAUCAUGUUUACCUCCGCGUCUCUCCAAUGAAAGGUACUCGUUGCUUCAGUAUCAAAGGGAAGCUUGCCCCCAGAUACGUGGGACCUUUCAAGAUCGCUAGCAAGAGAGGCGAUCUCGCCUAUCAACUCGAGCUUCCUUCAAACUUUGCAAAUGUUCAUGACGUGUUCCAUGUCUCUCAGCUCCGAAAGUGCUUCAAGACUCCUGACCGCACCGUCAACUUUGAGGACAUCGAACUCCAAGAAGAUCUCUCUUAUCGUGAGCACCCCGUUGCUAUUCUUGAAGAGACUGAACGCAAGACUCGCAACAAGUCAAUCAAAUUCCUCAAAGUCAAGUGGUCACACCAUUCCGACCAUGAAGCUACCUGGGAACGCGAGGAUCACCUCCGUUCUGAAUACCCAGUGUUCUUUCAGUCCUAGAUCUCGGGACGAGAUCCUUUCGUAGUGGUGGAGUGUUGUAACACCCCGGAUAUGAUUUGCCUAAUAUGUAAUCCAACUCUUGCCGUUUCCGGCGUUAAGUUAUUUUAUUUUCUCGGGUUCGGGUUUUUGUCUCCGUGUGUUGUUGUCGUUGUCAUGCAUCUCAUAUCAUGUUAUCAUGUGCAUUGCAUUUGCAUACGUGUUCCUCUCAUGCAUUCGAGCAUUUUCUCCGUUGUCUGUUUUGCAUUCCGGCGCUUCGUUCUCCUCCGGUGGUCAUUUCUACCUUUCUUUCAUGUGUGGGGAUUAAACAUUUCUAGAUUGGACUGAGACUUGCCAAGCGGCCUUGGUUUACUACCGGUAGACCGCCUGUCAAGUUUCGUACCAUUUGGACUUCGUUCGAUGCUCCAACGGUUAACCGAAGGACCGAAAAGGCCUCGUGUGUGUUGCAGCCCAACACCCCUCCAUUUUGGCCCAAAACCCACCAAAACCCUCUCCAUCAUCUAGAGCGUUCGAUCACGAUCGCGUGGCCGAAAACCGCACCUCAUUUGGACACUCCUAGCUCCCUCUAUGUCUAUAUAUAGACCCCUCCUAAAAAUUCGCGGUUCCACUCUCCCCCAAACCGUAGCCCCGCUCCAUCCGCGCGCCGGACACGUCCGGUCAGCGCCGGACAAAUCCUGCCGCCGCGCCCGCGCCAAUCGGCGCGUGACACGUGGCACGCCCCCGCCGCCGCCGCUCCGGNNNNNNNNNNNNNNNNNNNNNNNNNNNNNNNNNNNNNNNNNNNNNNNNNNNNNNNNNNNNNNNNNNNNNNNNNNNNNNNNNNNNNNNNNNNNNNNNNNNNNNNNNNNNNNNNNNNNNNNNNNNNNNNNNNNNNNNNNNNNNNNNNNNNNNNNNNNNNNNNNNNNNNNNNNNNNNNNNNNNNNNNNNNNNNNNNNNNNNNNNNNNNNNNNNNNNNNNNNNNNNNNNNNNNNNNNNNNNNNNNNNNNNNNNNNNNNNNNNNNNNNNNNNNNNNNNNNNNNNNNNNNNNNNNNNNNNNNNNNNNNNNNNNNNNNNNNNNNNNNNNNNNNNNNNNNNNNNNNNNNNNNNNNNNNNNNNNNNNNNNNNNNNNNNNNNNNNNNNNNNNNNNNNNNNNNNNNNNNGACCUCGCCGGCCUGCUCCGCCGCCCGCCGCCACAGUCCUCGCCGGCCGCCGCCUCCUCCCGGCGCCCGCGACUCACCUCCGGCCAGAUCCGGCCGCGGGAGGGCCGAAUCCGGCGACCCCGACCUCGCCGGCCGCCGUCGUCGUCAUCUCCGACGAGAUCCGCCACCGCCUCAUUUUGCGUGCCCGGGUCAACCCUAAUCCGCAAGGUGGAAUUUUCUUCUAAGUCCCUGAUUUCCAGAUCCAUAUGCCCAUGUUCAUUGCAUCGUAACUCCGCAUCCGUAGCUUCGUUUUGGGCAUAUAGCAUAUAAAAAUGUUCGUCUCAGAGAGCACAUCAUUUCAUCUCAUUGCAUCAUUUUCAUUUGAGUUCGUCUUGAUGCCCGAAAUACUGUUGGAAGAGUGCUAUUUGAGAUAAUUGUCAGAUGUGCUGCUCCAAUUAGACAUUUGUCAUUUUUGCCAUGAUUAUUGUGUGCAUGAUAUGCCCCUGAGCUCUACAUGAGUUUUGUUAUAUGCUUUACCAUCUAUCCAGAGGUGCAACCCAUGUAUUUUUGUGAUGUGUGUGGUGACUAGCACAAGCUUGCAAAGUGGAGCAUUCGUAAAUGCUGAUUUCAGGGACUUAGCAUUUCCACUAAGUCCUUGAUCUGUUUAUCUCAAUAUGCCAUAUGUUCAUGUUGUUUCCUAGUGAUCCGUGCCUCUUUUGAGGAUGAUCAGUAAGGAUGUUUUGUUAAUCUUGUAGUGCUAUAUCCAUCCAUGUCUCUGUUUGCAAUUAUGGAGCACCCUAGUUUGAGUCAAUCGAGCUCUACUUUUGUCAUUUCAUGAAUCUGGGCAGAUUGUCUACUUGUUAGCAAUUUUGCCGAGGAUGUUGUAGUUGAUCCGUGCAUGCUAUGUUAUUGUUCUUGCCAUGUCUAGCUUGUAUUAUGUGUUUUCUUGAUGGGUGUAUGCUUAGAUUGUCAUGACUUGCUCUGUAGUGAGUGCAUCGAGCUCGUAAACAUGUCUACUUGAUAUCUGUUUCAGCAUGCUCCAGUUUUCACUAAGUCUGAGAACUGAUUAUGUUUUUGCCAUGUUCACAUGCUUGCAAAUGUAUUUUCUGAUCCCUUUUGUCUCAAGGUCACUAAGGGACUUUUGUUAAGCUCUUUGAGUAGCUCCAUGACAUGCUUUACUUUGCCAUGUUCAGGUCCUGUAGCAUAUAGUUUUCAUGCUCCAAAGUGAGCUACCUGAUCUAAAAUUUCAGACAAGUGUUGAUUUCACUAAGUCUGAAAUUUGUUUACCAAAUGCAUUUUUGCCAUGCUUGUUUGAACCUGUUAAUGGAUGAAUUGGCCAUAGCUCAGUUCUAGUCUUUUGUUAAGCAUCAUGGAUGGAUCCCUUCCAUGCAUUUUGAUGCCAUGUUUGGGUGUUGUAGCAUGUUCAUCUUGUUGCAUUUAGAUGGCUACUUGCUGUAAAUCGCAGAACGUGGUCAUAUUUGAAUUGUUUGCCAUUUUCAAACCGUAACUCUGAUUCCGGCGUUCUUUAUAUCGUUUUCAAGCGGUUUGACCUCACCUUUCCAGUGGCACACUUGGAUUUCCAAGUUGAGGCCAGGUUCAUGCUUUCUUUGUAAAAUCUUGCAUGUGCAUCCCAUAUCGCAUCCCGCAUAGCAUACUAUCUUUGCGUCAUUUUGUUUGAGCCUUGCGCGUGGUUGAUUGUGUCCUUGUUACUUAUUUGUCUUGUUUGGGUAGAGCCGGGAGACGAGUUCGCUAACGAGGAGCCCGUUGAGUUUGCUUUCGAGGAUCCAGUCAACUCUGACAACUUUGCAGGCAAGAUGAUCAUACCCUCGAAAUCACUACUAUCUUUGCUUUGCUAGAUGCUCGCUCUUUUGCUAUGCCUAUGCUACGAUGCCUACCACUUGCUUAUCAUGCCUCCCAAAUUGCCAUGUCAAACCUCUAACCCACCAUGUCCUAGCAAACCGUUGACUGGCUAUGUUACCGCUUUUCUCAGCCCCUCCUAUAGCGUUGCUAGUUGCAGGUGAAGAUUGGAGACCGUUCCUUGUUGGGACAUUACUUACUCGUUGGGAUAUCAUUAUAUUGCCUUGUUAUCUUAACGCAUCUAUAUAAUUGGUAAAGGGUGGAAGGUUCGGCCUCUCGCCUAGUGUUUUGUUCCACUCUUGUCGCCCUAGUUUCCGUCAUAUCGGUGUUAUGUUCCCAGAUUUUGCGUUCCUUACGCGGUUGGGUGAUAAUGGGAACCCCUUGAUAGUUCGCCUUGAUUAAAGCUUUUCCAGCAAUGCUCAACCUUGGUUUUACCAUUUGCCACCUAGCCUCUUUUUCCCUUGGGUUUCCGGAGCCCGAGGGUCAUCUUAUUUAAACCCCCCCCCCCGGGCCCAUGCUCCUCUGAGUGUUGGUCCGAACCAGGCAGCCUGCGGGGCCACCUCGGGGAAACUCGAGGGCUGGUUUUACUCGUAGCUUGACCUAUCUGAGUGUGCCCUGAGAACGAGAUAUGUGCAGCUCCUAUUGGGAUUUGUCGGCACAUUCGGGCGGUGUUGCUGGAUUUGUUUUAACUUGUCAAAGUGUCUUGUAGAACCGGGAUACCGAGUCUGAUCGGAAUGUCUCGGGAGAAGGUCUAUUCCUUCGUUGACCGUGAGAGCUUGUCAUGGGCUAAGUUGGGACUCCCCUGUAGGGAUUUGAACUUUUGAAAGCCGUGCCCGCGGUUAUGGGCAGAUGAGAAUUUGUUAAUGUCCGGUUGUAGACAACUUGAACCUUAACUUAAUUAAAAUGAAUCAACAGUGUGAGUUACCGUGAUGGUCUCUUCUCGGCGGAGUCCGGGAAGUGAAAACGGUGUUGGAGUAAUGCUUGCCGCAGGUUGCUCUCUAGUUAUUCGUUCGCGCUUUGCCUUCUCUUCUCACUCUCUUUUGCCAAUAGGUUAGCCACCAUAUAUGCUAGUCGCUUGCUGCAGCUCCACAUAUUUUACCUUGCCCUUUCCUAUAAGCUUAAAUAGUCUUGAUCGCGAGGGUGCGAGAUUGCUGAGUCCCUGUGGCUCACAGAUUACUUCCAAACCAGAUGCAGGGCCUGAUGAUUCCGUUCCAGAUGACGCGCUUGAGCUCAAGUGGGAGUUCGACGAGGACUCACGCCGAUAUUAUGUGUCUUUCCCUGAUGAUCAGUAGUGGUGCCCAGUUGGGGUGAUCGGGACCGUGUCGCAUGUUGGGUUUAUCUUUUAUUUUGGCGCCGUAGUCGGGCCAUGAGUGUUUGAUGGAUGUAAUGCUAUUUAUGUACUUUGAUUGGCGUGGCGAGUGUAAGCCAACUAUGUAUCUCCCCUUUAUUAUCUAUAUUACAUGGGAUGUUGUGAAGAUUGCCUAACUUGCGACAUUGCUUUCAAUGCGGUUAUGCCUCUAAGUCAUGCCUCGACACAUGGGAACUAUAGCCGCAUCAAGGGCGUUACAAAGGUUCUCCCUGAGUAUGCACCAUUGCUAUAGUUCGUCAUGCCGAGACACCACAUGAUGAUCGGGUGUAAUAAGCUCUACAUUCACAUACAACGGGUGCAAGCUAGUUUUGCACAAGCAGAAUACUCGGGUUAAACUUGACGAGCCUAGCAUAUGUAGAUAUGGCCUCGGAACACUGAGACCGAAAGGUCGAGCGUGAAUCAUAUAGUAGAUACGAUCAACAUAGUGAUGUUCACCAUUGAAAACUACUCCAUCUCACGUGAUGAUCGGACAUGGUUUAGUUGAUAUGGAUCACAUGAUCACUUAGAUGAUUAGAGGGAUGUCUAUCUAAGUGGGAGUUCUUAAGUAAUAUGAUUAAUUGAACUUUAAUUUAUCAUGAACUUAGUACCUGAUAUUAUUUUUGCAUGUCUAUGUUGUUGUAGAUAAAUGGCACGUGUUAUUGUUCUAUUGAAUUUUAAUGCGUUCCUAGAGAAAGCUAAGUUGAAAGAUGAUGGUAGAAACUACACGGACUGGGUCCAUAAUUUGAGGAUUGCUGCACAGAAGAAUUACGUCCUGGAAGCACCGCUAGGUGCCAAACCCGCCGCAGGAGAAACUCUAGAUGUUAUGAGCACCUGGCAGAGCAAAGCUGAUGACUACUCGACAGUUCGGUGUGCCAUGCUUUACGACUUAGAACCGGGACUUCAACGACAUUUUGAACGUCAUGGAGCAUAUGAGAUGUUCCAGGAGUUGAAGUUAAUAUUUCAAGCAAAUGCCCGGAUAGAAAGAUAUGAAAUCUCCAAUAAGUUCUACAACUGCAAAAUGGAGGAGAAUAGUUAUGUCAGUGAACACAUACUCAGAAUGUCUGGGUACCACAAUCACUUGACUCAGCUGGGAGUUAAUCUUCCAGUUGAUAGUGUCAUUGACAGGGUUCUUCAAUCACUGCCACCAAGCUACAAAAGCUUCAUGAUGAACUAUAAUAUGCAAGGGAUGGAUAAGACAAUUCCCGAGCUCUUCGUGAUGCUAAAGGCUGCGGAGGUAGAAAUCAAGAAUGAGCAUCAAGUGUUGAUGGUCAACAAGACCACCGGUUUCAAGAAGAAGGGCAAAGGGAAGAAGGGAAACUUCAAGAAGAACAACAAAAAAGUUGCUUCUCAAGUAAAGAAGCCCAAGUCUGGACCUAAGCCUGAGACUGAGUGCUUCUACUACAAAGGGACUGGUCACUAAAAGCGGAACUGCCCCAAGUAUUUGGUGGAUAAGAAGGAUGGCAAAGUGAAAGGUAUAUUUGAUAUACAUGUUAUUGAUGUGUACCUUACUAAUGCUCGCAGUAGCACCUGGGUAAUUGAUACUGGUUCUGUUGCUAAUAUUUGCAACUCGAAACAGGGGAUACGGAUUAAGCGAAGAUUGGCUACUACUAUGCACGUAAGCGUACACGCAUGGUUAGCUGAGUGUUGCAGGUAUUCGGGUACAUAUGCACGCGAGCUUGCCGGCCGGCUGAGACAUCAGAAUACAUACACCUAGGGCAUGUUUGGUUACAUUGCCAAUCCAGCCUUGCCCGGCGAGCUUGGCUCUAGUAAGCCGGUUUGAGGGGAUGCAGGCCAAAAAAACAUCAGAUGCACAUACUUUGGUUGCCUGCAUGCCCCUAGUUGCAUGACACAACCAUUUUUGACCCGGUGUUUGGUUGCCCGUAUUGCAUUAGACACACAUAUGACAUGGUGUUUGGUUGCAACCUGCAUAAGGUGUUGUCACCACUUCUAACUAGUGGUGACCUUACCAACAUAAUCUGAACAUGUAGCGUCAGCUAGUUAAACAAAUGACAGUUCAUCCUAACUACUAUCAAAUGACAGUUCAAAUUAUUAAGAGCCAUUGGCCAAAUAGGGGACAGUUCAUCGGUGUUGCUGCUACCAGAUCUUCCUCUUCCACUUCCUAUUCUUCUGCUUCUGCUACUGCUUCUUCUUCUUCUUCUUCUUCUUCUUCUUCUUCUUCUUCUUCUUCUUCUUCUUCUUCUUCUUCUUCUUCUUCUUCUUCUUCUUUCAUCUUCUUCAAAUCCUACACUGACCUUUGUUAAGCCACAUUGCCUCUGCCCACUCCAACCUUUUGUUCUUCCAAGCGUCAUUGUCAAAUGCCUACACACCAUGGCCGGAGCUAACAACAUCGUCAGGCUCGACCUCUUCCUCCUCAGGCACGUGUUCAUCAAAGCCCCACUGAAGGAUCCAGUUAUGCAGAAUGCAACAAGCAAGAACAAGCUUAACCUGAGUGGAUUAUGAGUGGAAUGGCUUCUGAUCCAGGAUCUUAAACUUAUUCUUUAGAGCUCUGAAUGCCCUCUCAACGGUUACUCUAAGGUUGGAGUGUUUGAUAUUAAACAACUCUUGUGCAGUCCUAGGAUGGUUCCUGCCAGAGAACUCGUUGAGAUGGUACCAGGUUUUCCUGAACGGGGGAGAAUACCCGGCCGACAUGCAUAGCCAGCAUCUCCAAGGUAGAACUUGUCGUCAGGGAUGUUGAUCCCAUCAGGUCGACUUAUGUUGUCACUGAGAAUGUUAGCAUCAUGCGCUGACCCCUCCCUGCCAGUUAGCACAUAUGUAAACUUCAGAUCAAAGUCAACAGUAGCAAGCACAUUCUGGCUUGUGUAGUGCUUCCUUCCCCUGCAUGCUGCAGACUGUGACCUAGGAACUCUGGCAGUGACAUGAGUACCAUCUAUUGCCCCAAUGCAAUCCUGAAAAUGGCUUCACAAGUCUAUGUUGGUGCUCAACUUGAACAAUACAAGCAUAUCAAGCCAUGAAAAGUGUAUAUUGUCAAUGCUCACCUUGAAGUAUGGAUGCCAUCUUGGGCUUCCACGAAUCUUGGGUGGAGUCUGACCAGAUGGUCUCCUCAUCAUCUCUCCUCUAAGCUCCCCAAUAGCAAAAAGCACCUGCUUGAAGUACCUAGAGAUGGUCUCCAUUGAUCUCCUGAACGUGUUAUGAAUGACACCUGAACCUCUGGUUAUGGCCAACAACAUGGAGGAACAUGGCCACUUGCUCUUCGACACUGGUGUUGAUGCUAUCUUAUAGCAGCCCCCUGCUCCUGAAGGUCUCGACAAGCCUGCCAAAUGGUGAUUUUUUAAUUCGAAGCAUCCACAGAGCGACGUCAUUGCAGUUGUAGAUGUAGUUCAGAUUUUGGAUCCUCUCCUGUUCACGGAGAAACAAUGGACCAUAGCGGAUCAAAGGUCUCCUAGCAUGAUGAACAGCUCUCUGGUGCAUGAACAUGACCCAUGCCUGAAUCACACUAAUCAGUGUUGCUGCCUGAAUUAUCAGCCUCAUCCAUGUGUCGAUAACCUAGUCGACAUCGACGGUUCGUUCAGUGGGAAAUCGAUCCUACACCUAGCCUAACGGCCUGACCACCGAGCUAACAAAGGGGGGAGGGGGUGCUGCUUACCGGCAUCGGAGACGAGGAUGGCGUGGGGGAGCCAUGGCACCGACUAGGUCAACCAGAUGGUGGCCAACAGCAAGGGGAUCACUAGAUCCGCCGCAAAUGCCGCCACCUCUUCCGCCGCCGCAGCCGCUGCCUCUAGCGCAGAUUUGAAAUUGCAGCUGCCGCCGGUGGUGAGGCGAUGGGAAGAAAGGGGGUACUGGCUAUGGGUGAACGAGUGAAAGGGGGGUGGGGCUAGAUUUGGCACCGAGACGGUGCCAGAUUUCCAUCUCCCGCCAUCGCCCUCGCCCUCGCGUCGCACCCGCCCGUGGGACCUCGCGCCGCACUCAGCCUGGCUCACGAGAAACUGCCAAUCCGAGCGUUUCCAGCGAGCCAGGCUUUGGGCUGCUUUGAGAAGCGUGCUUUGCAGACCCAACAGUGAAUCCAAACAACCAAACAGGCCUCCUCCUUCUCGCGCGGGCCUGGAUGGGCUCGGUGCGGGUAACCAAACACCCCCCUAGUGUGUACAUAAUAUGUCCAGGUCAUCCCAAGCCUGAAAAAGUACAUGUAUAAUUUUUUUAUGGAACGUGCAUUAAGUGAUGUGCACAUGUGAUAAUAAGCCAUGUCUCACAUAUAUUAUCUGCGUCAAAAACACAAAAACAAUAAUUGGUAAUGCAUAAAUACUCAUCGAACACUAGACAAGCUCUUUCUCGGUUUCUUUCCCAGCGUGGUGGGGCUUGAUGGCAGCUAUGUCAUGCCCGUUUGCCAGCCAGUGUUGCUCGGAUGCUUUGCAUGCCCGGCAAUAGUCUCCAUGCGUAACAAUGAAUUGGGGGUUUGAGUUUGUUGAUUAGGAGCUUCGUCGUGGCUUUGCACUUUGGUGGGAUAGUUUACCUAGGGCAGGCCCCGUGCAACAUAUCUUGAGCUAUAUCCAAUAACAUUAAAUAAAUGUUUAGAUAUAACAGUCUCAAUGAUAGUGCACUAUACGUUAGUGUUGUAUCUAAACCAAGUCUUUUUGAUGCAUUUGGUGAGAGAAAACUUAUGGGAUAUCUGCAUUUGAUGUUAAGAUUAAUAUCAAUAUUAAGAUGUGGUUGAUUUCUCUUUCCUCGUUGAAUAAGAUGCUACAUCAGAUCUUUGACUAUGAAAUGAUAUGGCUAACCAUAAUGGGAGUAUCAUAGCUAAUAUAAUGCAUAUCAAUUAGGCAAUUUUAAUGGGGUGGCGCAAAAUUAAAGGAACAAUUGUAUUGGUGCCCCUAGUUGGGUCACACUCGACUGAUUUGCCCCUAGUUUUUCAAUAAUUGCGGUUUUGCCCACCUCACUUCACUCGCCUUGUGUUUUUGCCCUUCCGGGGUGGUUCCGACCAAUGAGCAGUCGCCACGUGGUGAACCGUGAUUGGUCAAAACCGCCCUGGAAGGGCAAAAACACAAGGCGAGUGAAGUGAGCUGGGAAAAACCGCAAUUGUUGAAAAACUAGGGGCAAAUCAGUCGUGUGUGACCCAACUAGGGGCAUGAAUGCAAAAAUCCCAAAAUUAAAUGAAGAAAUAGAUAGUCGAGUAUCAUAUUAUGAUAUUGUAUCAUAAUAAAUUCUAUUCUACUACUGCUCAUUCUAGUAUGUGUUAUGCAUUGGAAUAAAUGAGAUAUGAUACUAAUUUAUAAUAAUAUGCACUACGAUAGUAUCAUACACUAGUAUCAUAUGCAUGAUACUGGUACAUGCACUAGUAGAAAAAGGGUCAUUUGUCCCGGUUCGUAAGGCCCAUCUGUCCCGGUUUAGGAACCGGGACUAAAGGGUCAUUACUAAAGCCCUUGGCCUUUAGUCCUGGUUCUUAUACGAACUGGGACAGAUGGGCCUCCACGUGGCCGCUGCGGCGAGCCCAGGCUGGAGGGCUUUUGGUCCCGGUUGGUGGCACCAACCGGGACCUAUAGGCAUCCACGCGUCAGCUUUUCAGGGGCUAGGGUUUUUGUUUUUUUCUAAAGGGGGGGGGAUUUGGGGGUUUUGUAUGGUUAAUUAAGGUGUUUCACAUAUUGUGUUAGGUAGCUAAUUAAUUAAUAGAGAGAAGUGUCCUCUAUUAUCUCUGUGCUUGGUCGACGCUACGUACUAUACAUAUAGAGAGGCCCUCGACACGCUAGCUAGUAAGCAAAUGAAGGAAACCAUUAAGUACAGAAGUUCAUCAUGCAUACCGAGAGAAGUGAUAUCGACCUCUCCUUCUCCGAGAGAUUGCACGAACAACAAGUUUUCGUAUAUCUAUCCGACGCUACUAGCUAUAUAUAUACAAUAAGAUCUCUUACAAUAUAAUCUCCCCUAAUUAUAUAAGAACUCAGCUUCAACAUGGUAUUCUCCAGCUUUAUUGAUGACAUGGUCAACAAAGAAUCCCGCCAAUUCCUCUUGAAUUGCUUUCAUGCGAUCUUUUGGUAGGAGUUCAUUCUGCAUCUGUCACGUCUAAUUUGAAGAAGGGUGUUAAUACAUAUAUAUGAAUGAAACUCAACAGAAAUGAUGGUGUAAUAAAAUGAAAUUGUGAAUAUUAUUGCUUACGCACAUCAAAUUGUCUUUCAGAGUAGCCCCGCUUAUUUUUGCAAGUCGCGUUGUAGAUGAACUCGCAGACGUAGUAUCCACAGAAAUCAUUCCCUUGUUCCUGCCACAAGCACUUUAUGAGAAAUAGAGGUCAAACAAACUGAUAAUGAAGCAUUAUAAAGGGCAUCAAUGAAAUUAGCUAGAAUCAACGGGAGAUGCACGGAAGUAGCUAGCUAGUAGUACUUACUUUCGGGUAUGUAUAUCGCAGCUCCUUUGGCAGUCCUGGAGCUUUUGCGGUGAACUUUUUCCAAACCCUGCAAGACAAAGAUAAUAAUUAUUACUUGAGAUAUCAGGAAAUGAACAAAAAGUUGCCGAUAUGGUGCGAUAAUGAUCGAUUGAACUUACUUGUUGAGAAUUUUAGUCAUGUCCGCAUAGGUCUCGGGAUCUUUUUGUCUCGAGUCUAAGACGAUUACUAGUCCCUGCUCAAGCUUAAUCUCCAGGAGAAUAUAGUGGAAGCUGCGCACACAUGCAUAACUCAUUAAUUAAUUACAUUACUAUAACCUCGAGUAAUAAGGGAAACCGAAUAUGCACAAGACAGUAACACUCACUUGAAGUUUUAAGGAAAGAGUACUUUAUCUUUGUUUUGAUUUAUUACCAACGAUUUGAGCAAGUUGGCCUCAGCUUCUUUGGCAUUCUUUUUAACAACAUAUUCAUCUAUGAGAUUUGUGUUAAUGAACCCAAUAUCAUAUAUUUCUGCUUUUUUGCACUUGAUGAUCUUCAAUUUGCAUAAUAUAGUGAGGAUAAUUAUAAAUACAUGCAAUGAAAAAGUUGAGCUAUAUAUAGAGACUUAAUGACAGAAGUAGUACUUACAGACAGUAGCAAGUGACCGUUAAUUUAUCGAGGGCCUUUUGAUUGAAAACUGGAAGAACUCCUCAAAUGGAAUAGACAAUAGAUCAAUUCCAACGAGGUCGUGCUCCUCUUUAACUCUCAGCGUCAAAGUAUUCGUCCCCCCAGACUCUCUGCAGGUUUUCAUGUACCAAUCAUGCAACCUUCGCACCAUCGUUGUUAGAGAUUUUUCAUCUUUGACGAGAAGCUUCCCGUAAUGGUAUUUGUGUUCGUCCACCUCCAAGAAUUCAUAAUGUACAUCGUCGGGCAGGUAAUCAUCAAGAUUGGUAUAACCGGGCACCAUCCUAUGAUCAUUAGCAACGAUAUCGCUAGACACCUUGAGCGGGGGGCACGAUUGGUUCGCUUGUUCGCCGAGCUGGGCAAUUUUUUUCCCAGCUCGUCGUUCUGCUAACCUUCGAUCACUGAUAGUACUUCCCGGCCGCUCCGCUUCAAUAUAUACCUUUUCAGUAAUGCGCUCAUAGUUUGUUUUCGGCGGAGACUUUGGUGGUUUCUCAGGGCAGCGAUAGUGCGCUUUAAUUUCACUGAAUCUAUCUUCUCCUCCGGAGGUGGAUGUUUCUUUGCUUUCGCCCAUCAAAGAAGUCCUUCACUUCGGUUUCCACGAUCUUCGCAUUUUCCUCCGCGGUCCUCUCGUAUGGUAACUUCUCUAGAGGCUUGAGAGAUGGACCGAAUCUGUAUUGCCUCCCGCCUCUAGUUGUACUGCUAGAUGCCGGAGCAGACGGAGUGGCUGCGGCUGUCUUCUUUUGUUGCUUAUGAGGCGGAGGUGAAGGACUACAACGCGCCAGAGCAGCCAGAGUGGUGGCGGGUCUCUUCCGUCCUUGCUGGCGAGGCGGAUCAGGAGGAGGCUGGCUGCUCGAGCACGCCGGCACAGGCGGAGAAGGAGGCGGAGUGCCGCCACACGCCGAAGAAGGAGGCUGAGUGCCCUGAUCACUCGCCGGAGGAGGAGGCGGAGGAGGAGGUGGAGUGCCCUGACUCGCCGGAGGAGGAGGAGGCAGAGGCGUCCAGUUUGGAAGGUUGAUGAGCUCCUUCCGCCAUAGGCAUGGAGUCUUCAGAGAAGAACCCGGCCGAGUCUCCCCUUCACCCGUAGGGUGGUCAAGCUCGAGGUCCUCAAAUCCUUCAGUUAUUUCAUCCACCAUCACCCUAGCAUAUCCUUCUGGAAUCGGCCGACAGUGAAAAGUUGCGCCAGGUUCAGGAGGUGCAACAGAGCCAACAACCGCCUUCACUUUCAAUUUCAUCCAUUGCGUCAUAAGGUAGCAAUGUUGAGACUCCGUGAUUAAGUCCACGGGGUAGCUAGCAGGAGCCGUGAAGAUAGGCUCCAGCUGAAGCAGCUUGGUGGAAGCCACGCUGCUUCUCCACUGAGAUGGCGGGGUAGCUUCAGGGGAAGCUUCGGCAGGUCGCUUGCUGCGAUCUGCUUCUCGUUCCUCUAUCGCUUGUACCCUUGCGUGCAGCGCCUGCAUUUGGGUCUACUCCACUUUCUUCCUCCUCUCCUGGCAUUUGUAACCGCCUACGUCCAGAAACCCAGCCUUCCACGAACGGAGCCUGGCGUGCCUCGUGUCCGUCCAGGGUGCUCAGGAUUCCAAAGGGCAAUUGUGAGCUCGCCGUUCUCUCUGUCUAGAACGAAUGUCCCUUGUUGCGCUGCAUCGAUAUACUGCAGUUGCUCGUGACGGGUAUUCACAAUUGCUCGUUCGUCCAACGGCACUUCCCUGAUACAGGGUCUAAGGUUCCGCCAACCCUGAAGAACCAAGUCCGGCAACGGUCUGGCCAGUUCAAUGUCUCUGGUUUGACCCCUUUAUCAAGCAGGUCAUUCUCAGCCUUGACCCACAACGGUUGGGCUUUGAGGUAGCCACCUGACCCCGUGCGAUGGUGAAGCUUCUUCUUCACAGCAUUUUUCUUAUUUGUCGCUGACAUCUUCUUACUCUUGCCCGAUGUCUUGUGGGCCACAAAUUCAUCCCACUGAUCUCUGAUCUUCUCAUACCGGCCGGUGAAUUCUGGUGUCUCUUCUUUGUCGACAAACGUUGUUUUCAGCUCAUUCUUCCACCUCCUGAAUAGUUAUGCCAUCUUCUUAAGAUCACGAGACUUGAUCAAUUGCUCUUUAACUGGCUUCUCCAGAUCCUCCUCUGGCGGUAGGGUGAAAUUUGCCUUCAACGCGGUCCAAAGAUCAUCUUUCUGCAUAUCAUUGACAUAAGACACCUCAGGGUCAUCUUUAGCCGGCUUAUACCACUAGUGGAUGCUGAUCGGGAUCUUGUCCCUAACAAGAACCCCACACUGAGCAGCAAAUGCUUCCUUUGUCCAGAUGGUUCAAUCGGUUGGCCAUCACGUGCGAUUGCUGUGAUCUCAAACCUUUCAUCGGAGCGCAACUUUUUCUUUGGGCCUCGUCUCUUUACCGAAGAUGUGCUCGAUCCGGAGGGCUAGAAAAAAGAAGAAAGAUGAGGGUUAUUAAUUAAUAUGUGUACAUACCAAAAACAAUUAAUGCAUCAAUUAGCUAUAGUCAGCACAUGCUUAAUUAAUAUAUAUACCUGGCCGGACUCCGUUCGGUCACCGGAGUCGUCAUCACGGUGUCCUUCUUCCACCGGCAUUUGGUCACCGGAGCCGUCAUCAAGGUGUCCUUCCACCGGCAUUCGGUCACCAGAGCCAUCAUAAUCAUGUCCUUCCUCCUCCAUUGUUCGAUCAUCGUAGUCUGCUUCUUCACACUGUCCUUCCAGACCAUCGGUUUCAUUGAGAAACGACAUGACGGCAUCACUUCCGGCUGCGAUUAUGUCCCCCAACAUCGCUUCUGUUUCUUCGUCUCGGGGUGCUCCAUAGUUUCUGCAAAUAUUUACAACAUGGAAAUUAUUAUUCAAACAUGACAGAUGGAUAUAUUAGUGGCAAACGUAGAACUAGCUAGCUAAUCACAAUAAGGAAUCAUAUUAGUGGCCUCGACGCUUCUCUAGGGUUUGGGUGGCCUCGGCAACGCUUCAAGGGUUUGGGUGGCCUCGACGACAACACUCUUUUAACUUGUUAAAUUUGGCUGACCUCGAGAGAGUUUGUCGGGUAGGGGCGCGGGAGGGGGUAGGAGACCGACAUCGUUUUUUUCUAGGGUUUGGGUGUCUAAGUUAUCACGGUCGAGAGUUUUGGUCGAGCGAGAGGGUCGGGGGGGGUGCUCUUGUGGUAUAAGUUAUCACGGUCGAGAGCGGGUAUAUAUAUCGACCGCCCCUCAUGUCGAAGUUAUUCGGGAGGGGAUUAUAUCGACAAGACGACAUACAUACAUGGGAAAAUAAUGUUAUCGGGGAGGGGGUAUAUCGACCCCCCCCCUUGUAUUGAAGUUAUCGGGAGGGGGUAUAUCGACAACGACAUACCCGAUAAAAAAUAAGACGACAAAGAAGAAAUAAAAAGAUGAGAAGAUCGAAGAAAAAAAGAAGAAGAAAAAAGGAGAAGAAGAAAGGAAUAGAGGAGAAGAAGAAAAAAUAGAAUAUUCUUCUUCUCUUUUUUCCCUUUUUUCAUCUUCUUAUUUAUUUCUCCUCUUCUUCCUCUCCUCUUCUUCUCCUUUUUCUUUUCCUUCUUCCUAAACUAAACAUAAACUAAAAUAAUCCUAAAACUAAACGAAACUUCUCCUCCUCCCUUUCUUUUCUUCAUCUUUUUUUCAUCCUAAAACUUUAUGAACAAAAUUACAACAGAAAAAAAACAAUAAAAAUUCUAUGAACAAAAUUACAAUGAAAAAAAAAAUAAAAAUUCUAUGAACAAAAUUACAACAAAAAAAAUCAUUAAAAUUCUAUAAAAAAUGACAUAUUCUUUGCAUAUGAACAUACAAACAUUUGCAUAUUCUACAAUAAUAUCACCAAAAAAAUUCUAUGAACAGAAAAAAAUCCGAACUUUUGCAUAUGAACAUACAUACAUCAUCAUCGUCAUCAUCUACUACUACAAUAUGAACAAAAAAAAUCUAUAUAUGUGAACAGGGCCUUCGUCGGUGACGUCGGGGCGGGCGGCGGCGGCGUUGGGGCGCGGGAGGAAGGGGGAGAGGAGGGGGAAUGUCGCGAUGAGGCUCAUAGUGCAGGCGAGCGGCGGCGAGGUCGGGGCAGGGCUCGGCGACGGCGAGGUCGGGGCAGGGCGCGUCGAGGUCGGUGCAGGGUACGGCGAGGCCGGGGUAGGGGUGACGGCGACGACGGAGACGGCGGUCGGGGGCGGCAGCCUGGCAGCGUCGAUGUCGUCGGGGCGGCAACUGCGAGAUGAGAAAUGGAAAUUUUCACAAGUCUUGCUUAUAUACACGAAGCAUUGGUCUCGGUUCGUGCCACCAACCGGGACCAAUGCCCCCUUUAGUCCCAGUUGGUGCCACCAACCGGGACCAAAGGUCUCUUUUCAGCAGCCCAAAGGGCGGGGGGUCCCGGUUGGUGGCACCAACCGGGACUAAAGGGGUGGCAUUGGUUCCGGUUGGUGCCACGAAGCGGGACCAAAGGCCCCCUUUCGUCCCUGUUCGAGCCACGAACCAGGAUCAAUGGUCUUGUGCUGGAACUGUCGCGGUGUGGUGGGAUGUUUAGUCCCACCUCGCUAGUCAAGAAGCUUCGAUAGUGGUUUAUAAGCGUUGCUGCGCUGACCACUUCGAACUCCUCUCUAAUGCAGGCUUACAGGCCUAAAGUCACUUUUAUCUGCCUGUGGGCUUACUGGGCCUAAUGCAGGCCUGAAUCCUGGUCCAUGGGUGGGUUUCUAGUCGUAUUCACGCCGUGGUGGCCCAGUAGGUGGCAUUUUUAUUUUUUUCCAGUUUUUUUAUUAUCUUUGUUGCUUUAUUUAUUUUAUUUUGUUUUUAUUUACAACAAAAUACUUACUAUUUUUCAGUGAUUCUUUUUGAUUUUAGGUAAUAAAAAUAAUAAACUUUCUGUUAGUGCCAUUAGUUUUCCAAUUUGAAUAGUUUAAAUUUGAAUUCUUUGAAAUUUGUGUGAGUCACUACUUUGUGAUUAACUUUACUAUAAAAAUAAAAUACUUGCUGUUUUUCAGUGAUUCUUUUUGAUUUUAGGUAAUAAAAAUAAUAAACUUUUUGUUAGUGCCAUUAGUUUUCCAAUUUGAAUAGUUUAAAUUUGAAUUCUUUGAAAUUUAUGUGAAUCACUAGUUUGUGAUUAACUUUACUAUAAAAAUAAAAUACUUACUGUCUUUCAAUGAUUGUUUUUUAUUUUAGGUAAUAAAAAUAAUAAACUUUCUGUUAGUGCCAUUGGUUUUCCAAUUUGAAUAGUUUAAAUUUGAAUUAUUUGAAAUUUGUGUGAAUCACUAGUUUGUGAUUAACUUUACUAUAAAAAUAAAAUACGUACUGUUUUUUAGCGAUUCUUUUUGAUUUUAGGUAAUAAAAAUAAUAAACUUUCUGUUAGUGCCAUUAGUUUUCUAAUUUGAAUAGUUUAAAUUUGAAUUCUUUGAAAUUUGUGUGAAUCACUAGUUUGGGAUUAACUUUACUAUAAAAAUAAAAUACUUACUGUUUUUUAGUGAUUCUUUUUGAUUUUAGGUAAUAAAAAUAAUAAACUUUCUGUUAGUGCCAUUAGUUUUCCAAUUUGAAUAGUUUAAAUUUGAAUUCUUUGAAAUUUGUGUGAAUCAUUAGUUUGUGAUUAACUUUACUAUAAAAUAGAUUUUGGAGUGAUUCUUUUUCCUGUUAUUGAAUAUUACAGUGUUUUAUCAUUAUAUUCAAAAACAUUUUUUAUAUUUUAGUUUCUAACAAUUUUUUUAUGAUAAUUCUUUUUGCUAUUAAAGUUUCUAACAAAAAAAGUUAUUUAUGAAAAUUCUUUUUGCUUAUAAUGUUUUGAACAAAAAAUACUUUGAUAAUUUUAGUUGUAUAAAUUUUAUAUAAUUUUAGUUUUAAUAAUACUAGAGGUUUAUGAAAGCUUUUUAGUUGAUUCCUUUUGCUAUUAGAGUUUCAUUAAAGUUUUCUAGUUCAUUGUUUUUUCUAUUAGAGUUUCAUUAAAGUUUUCUAGUUCAUUCUUUUAGUUUAUUAUUUUUUCUAUCAGAGUUUCAUAAAAGUUUUCUAGUUCAUUAUUUUUUCUAUUAGUUCAUUCUUUUUGCACUAAAUGACCCUGAAAUUGAAAACCACUACAAAUGAACUCUGAAAAGGUUAAAAGUUGGCAUGGUAUCAUCAUUUCACCCAUAUAGCAUGUGCUAAAAAGUAGAGAUGGUUACGGCAAAAACUAGAUGCACUUCGUGUACAAAAUGCACAAUCUCUUUCGAAGUAUCAGGGUUUCAUACGAAAACUCAUCUGUUACAAAGGGAUUUCAUUUUUUUGAACUUAUUUGAACUCCAGACUUUUGUGUGUUCAUAAUGCACCAUUCAAAGCCACAUCAUCAAUUUUCAACCAUUUCUGACUUCAUUUGUUAUUUUUUCAUUUAACCAUUCUGCUUGUUUGCCUCAGCCACUUCGAGAAACAUAAUUAUGUGUGUCUGUCAUCGUACAUCCAUUGCCGGUUCAUCUGCUUGCAUUAUAUAUAAUUAUGUGUGUCAAAAACCAUUACAGAUUCACAUGGAUAGAUAAAUGACCAAAUUAAUAAAAGUUCAUCAUCACAUUAAAACCAAAGUACAUAUAUAGUUCAAAUUGAACAACAUAUAGCUCUCCAGAGCAUCUACUUAAACCAUACAUUGAAACUAUUUAAAACAUUUCAAUGCAACAACAAAUGCGAUCAUUAUCACACAACCAAGGUAACAAUUGAUCCAACGGUAUAAUGAUACCAAGCCUCGAUAUGAAUGGCAUAUUUCGUAAUCUUUCUCAUCUUCAACCGCAUUGCAUCCAUCUUGAUCUUGUGAUCAUCGACGACAUCCGCAAUAUGCAACUCCAAUAUCAUCUUCUCCUUCUUAAUUUUUUUUAAUUUUUUCCUUCAAGUAAUUGUUUUCUUGUUCAACUAAAUUUAACCUAUCGACAAGAGGGUCGGUUGGAAUUUAUGGUUCAACUACCUCCUAGAUAAAUAAAAUCUAUGUCACAUUGGUCGGCAUAAUUGUCAUAAACAAUAAAUGAACCAAAUAGUUAUAAAAAGAUAAUAUAUACCACAUCUGAAUCAUAGCCAGGACGAGGGCCGACGGGGGCGGUUACCAAAACCAUCACACUAUAUUAUAACAAGCAAUAGUAAUAGUAAGAAAAUUAGACAAGUAUCUAUCUAAAGUAAGAAUAUGUUUUCUUUCAGAAAGAAGAUAAGAACAAGAGGCUCACCACGGUGGUGCCGGCGACGAGAUCGACACAGGCGAUCGACGGCGGUGAAGACAGGGAUGGGACGUGACGGACCGCUAAACCUAUGCAAAUCUCGGGGAAAAUGGAGUUUGGAGGCCGAGCUUCGAGAGGAGAAAGCUUAACUAGUGUGGCUCGGUCAUUUCAUCGAACAUCUCAUGUGCAUAGGAGGUGAGCUAGAGCACCCAAAUGCCCUCCCCUCGCCGGCCAGAAAAAACAGAGCACUGUGGAGUGCUCUGCUGCGGCGAUGGAAUAUAUAUAGGCAGCUCAUUUGUCCCGGUUUGUGGCUGAAACCAAGACAAAUGGGUCCAGACGAACUGGAACCAAUGCCCACGAGGCCCAGGCCAGCCCCCGGACUCACGAACCGGGACAUGUACUCCCAUGGAUCCCGGUUCGUGACUGAACCGAGACUAAUGGGCUAGCCAGGCCCGAACCAAAGCCCUGUUUUCUACUAGUGAUAAUACUCCCGGUACAACCAGGCUACUAAGAUAUAGGCAUUAAAAGUGCACCGAAAUUGUUUACACAAACCGGUACAACGAUUAAGCAUUAUAUCUGCGUGGUCGAACGUAUAUCUCUUUUUUUUUUGCUAGGCAAACGUACACGUCACUCCAUCGAUCUUCAUUUCUUCGGCGCGAGAACACGAUGAAGGAUCCAUCUGGUACUGGUGGGUGUUGACAGAUACAUGAUCUAGCAAAAUGCCAUGUGGCUUCAACACCGCUUUGGCAAUCUUCAACACCAAAACAAACAGUGCCGCCUCUUUCAAAAAAAUAAAUGAUGAAAAGGUGCCGCCCCCAUUUUCGACGCUUCUCCGGCGUACCAUAUAUAUACCCCCACAGGAAAACAUUUUAGGAUCGAACAGAGCUUGGCACUUGAUUCCACUCAGAGACUGCAGCGAGAGUGGAGACAUUGCACGAGUCACCGACCUUACGAGACCUACACAGAUGGUACGUACUAAUGUCGUCUAAGCAAUAUCAAAUAACUAGAUUAGUGCACACACUCUAUGGUCAGAUUCAUCUGUAGUUUAUAGAGUAGUAAUAACAACUAGUACGUACGUGCUGGUGAAUUGGCGAUAAAUGCAGGUGCGUCCGCGUGAGACGUGCUUACUAAUUACUCUUGCAGGGCAUCAUCGGCAUCCGCACGGCCACCCUGCUCCUCGCUGCCCUCGCGUGGCGUAGUGUGCUCGUUGCCGCCGCCGGCGAGGCGGACGGCGUGUUCAACGUCAAGGACUACGGUGCUCGAGGCGACGGCACCACGGACGACACCAAGGUACGUACGCACGCGCGCGACGCCCGAGUUGACGUUGCGCUCUCGAUCGAUAUAGCUCACGCAUACGUGACGGCCGGAUGUGUGUUGACUAUCUGUCCUGCGUGCGAAGGCGUUCAUAGACGCAUGGAGCGCGGCGUGCGGCGCCAGAGGCUCGUCGGCGUCGCUGCUCGUACCGGCGGGCAAGUCCUUCCUCGUCGGCCCCGCCAGAUUCAGCGGGCCCUGCGCCUCCACCAGAAUUACCGUCCAGGCACGCAUGCACCGUCCGUCUUUCCUGAUCUGCUCUUAGAUCUGGGCCGUGGUUUGCGUGGCUUCAUCUGACGGUCAGGAAAUCUGCUGCCCUUGCUUUGACUGUCGUAGGUCAUGGGCACGAUUACGGCGCCACCGCCGGGCGCAUGGAGCGGGCAGAAAUAUUGGAUGAUGUUCUACCAGGUCCAGGGGCUCACGGUUACCGGCGGCAGCACCGGCUUGCUCGACGGCAGAGGCCGGUCGUGGUGGUGGAGCGAUCAAUGCAACCGCUACGGUGUGAGAGCCCAACUCACCUCUUGCAAGAAAGAACGAAAAUCUUUUAAUUCCUCCGUGCAUUUGUGCCUUUAGAUUCAUUUUUCAAAUCUUCGUCUGAGAGAAAGUGUAUUUAAUUGUCUAUCUUUUCUUCAAGGCGAAGCAUUUAUCAGUUUUCACUCACCUGUUAUUGUUCUUUUCUUUCAGGACAUAUAUAAGGCGCCGACGGUUAGUACAAACGUGUAAAGCAAGUAUAGUGUCGGAGGCGGAUUUGUGGUUUAUGGGGACACCUACACACUAUAUGAGAAAAAAAUUAGUAAUUCAACAAAAAGUCAAAAAUUCCUGAAAAUAUUUUUGAAAUAAACUUGACCUUCUAUUGUACUAGUGAGAAAAAAUUCAUAAAAAGAAAAUUUUCCCUUUGACUUCUUUUCAAAAAAAGACAAUUUUUUGGCUAAAAUAGUGUGAAUAGUGACCUAUAAUAGCAAAUAAAUUUUGUCUUUUUUGCUGUGAGGUCAACUUUUGUUUUUUUUCAUGGAAAAUUAUAUUCUAGUGCAAAAUUAAGUCAAGUUUUUUGUCAAAAUAGUUCUUAGCUAUUUUGACUUUUUAAAUAUUUUAAAAAAUCCUCAUAUAGGGUGCAUAUACAACCAGGAACACAAGUGUAUUUCCCGUAUAGUGUCUAGAUAAUUAGCAUUCGCAAAUCAACAUGCAUGUAACCUCAUUGCGUACUGCGUGCCACCGCAUGGAUCGUACAGGCCUUGGUGGUCAUGAACUGCACCGACGUGGAGCUGAGCAAAUUCAGCAGCAAGAACAGCUCGCAGAUGCAUAUUGCCGUCAGCCAGAGCAGCAAGGUCCACCUGACGCAGCUGACCACCACCGCGCCCUGGGACAGCCCCAACACCGACGGCGUGCACAUCGACCAGAGCGAAGACGUCCGCGUCACCAGAUCGACCAUGGGCACCAGCGGCGAAUGCGUCUCCAUCGGCCCCGGGAGCCGAUUCGUCACCGUGGACGGAAUCGUCUGCGGCCCCGGCCGUGCUGUAAGGUAACAAAGGGUUACAAUAAGGAGGCUUCUUCCAUCUGCAUUUUCUAUUUACCAUGCACUCCAAGAAGAGGAGUAAAAUGACGUGAUUGUGUUUCUUGGCUAGUGUGGGGAGCCUUGGCAAGAAGGGAGCAACCGAAUCCGUGGAGUACAUCGACGUAAAAAACGUCCACUUCAUCAAUACCUUGAGUGGAGCAAGGAUCAAGACGUGGCAGGUACAGUACUGAGGUGCCAUGAAACCAAGCUGAAACCGGCCUUCUCUUGCUAACUUCCGGGUGAUUACACUGUUUCUUCGCACUGCAGGGUGGGAAAGGUUACGCGAGAUCCAUCUCCUUCACCAACAUAAACUUCACCAACGUGGACAAUCCUGUGGUCAUCAACCAGUUCUAAGCAGACCCCUACCACGUCCCAAACAUGGUAGUAGUGCAUGUGUUCAUUAACUGUUGGACUAUCUGUGUACGUGUGGAGCAGCUAGUGCUAAUGUUUGUGCGUCUUCUUCUGGGGAUCAUAAUUUGCCGUAGGGGGCGGUGGCGGUGAGCAACAUAACGUACACGAACCUCAAGGGGACUUCGAGGUACAGGACGGCCGUCGAGUUCGUCUGCAGCGAGAGCCGCAGCUGCACCAACAUCCACGUCAACUCCGUGGCGAUCACAUUUCCGUACGGAGAAGCCCUGGCCCUCUGCCAGAACGCGCAAGGGGACACCUCCGGAUAUGUCUACCCCAAGAUCCCUUGCCUUAGAUAAUGUAUGUAACAGAAAAAAAAU
rnacentral:lncRNA from 1 species